AAUCCCUCCCUUGCUCUUAAACAUGAUGUAAAUUGAAUUAAACUAUAACACCUAUAUAAGUUUGUGUCUCUUUGGAUUGAUGAUUGCUCUCUAGAAUUUGCCUAAAGUUUUUGUCUUGUAUAUGUCAUUUGUAGGGCAGCGUGGAGAGAAGGCCAUUUAGUGGCUAAUUAUUACAAGCAGUUUUUUCGAAUGCUACUUUUUAAGUGGCAGCAAACAUUCAACCCUCAAGGUAAACCAUUUACUGGUUAUGCACAUAUACGGGAUGAUCAUUGGUACUGUAAUGUUUCUAGUCAUUCAUUCAAGACGUUAAGGACGUUAAGGACGUUUUAGGCAUAAAACAAACAAUAGGAAAAUUAAUGAAAAUGACUUAAAAAUUUUAAGUUUUAACGAUAAGGACAAAAUAAAGGGUAAAGUGAAUAGUAUCAAGAUUGAGUUUUUAGUGUAAAAAUGUGGUUUUUCGUUAAAAUGAACAGUACCGGAAACUUUUCGUUAAAAUUUCCAUUAUAAAUUUUUGGUUUUUGGUGGAGAAAGGAAACCAUCCAAAUUUUCUGUUUUAAACAAUUUGUUCAACUUGAUUUUAAUCUGUUUAUGAAACAAAGAACCUGGACCUUUUGGCUUUUGCAAAGCCAUGCCACAGAAUGUUAGACAGAAAUUCUCCAUACCUGCCUCUAUCUCUCCCUCAGAUUGCGGCCCAACAAGCCCGGGAAACCGAGAUUACAGCCCAGUUAUCGGCCCACUACGAGAAGAUGAGUAUGAUAAUACGGGCAUUACAGAUGUCUGGCCUCCAAAUCCCGAUGCCAGCACCUGAUCUUGCUCCACCUUCGACCUCACAGCCAUUUCACCUAGCCGAUACCCAGUAGCCUGAUGCAUCAAACCUAGAAGACUUUUUUUUUUUUUUUGGUCAAUACCUAGAAGACUACUUGUUGUAGUUUUUUUCUUUUAUGUUCGAACAUCUUGUAUGUACAUUUUCAUAUAUUUUAUAAUUAAAUACUUUUUCUUGGUUUGUUAAUUAUUGUUUAUAAUUUAAUUAAAACAUUUAUAAAAAAUUAAAUAAAAAAUAUUUUUGCCAUAAAAAAAAAAGGUUUGCACGAUGAAGAAUUGUUCAACGUACAUAACUCUAUCCUAACUUUCUUACAACCAAACAGAGUAUUUUAUAUAACAAAAAUUGUUAAAAAUAAAUGCUUUUCUAAAAUAAUUCUAUAUAAAACAUGUCGGAAAUUUUAUUAAACAUCUAAAUACUUCCUAAGAAACGCAUAACGAAUGCUUCUUCAUACACUGUUUUUACAACCAAGACCUAGAGGCACUUGGAAUAAUUUCAACCAAAAGAUAAUCAUAAUACAGGGCGUAUUGUAAAAGCCCGUUGGGCUAGUUGUCCCUGUGCACAAUCAAUGCAACCACCUCACCCCUCCCAAAUCCACCAAGUUCCAGCCAAUGUUCAUGUAAAAAAUCUCAAUUUCAAGAAAAAUGUAAAAAUCUCAAUUUACCUUCAAAUGUCAAAUUCAUCACCAUUUUUAUUACUUGUUCAAAUUUAAUUAGACUAAAUAUGACUCUCGAUUUCCACUUAGUAUUACGGUCUAGUGAUAUUUAUCUUCACUUGUAAGUGAGAGGUCUUAAGUUUGAUUUUAGCCAAAGAUGAAUUUGAACCACAUUAUUAUUAGUCUAUUGUGAGAAUAAACCCACCCAAAAUAUCGUUUGUUAAAAAAAAAGAUGAAUCUCAAUUAAUAAAAAAAAAAAAAAAACGUAAAUUGAUACGUCCUAAGUACCAAAUUAAGUUCAAGGUAUUACCAAAUUUUCUAAGAAGUUAGUCGAAAUGAUCAAUUUGCAAGUUUUAUUUGCUGAAAUAAUAAAUUCUCAACAUCUAAUAACUUUUAUUCCUUCUAACAAUUGAAUUUGUAAAAUGAAUUUCAAUCAAUAUUAUCAAUUCUCCCAACGUGUUCUUUAUUUAUUUUUGUCAAAUUAUAGAUUUGAUUAAAUAUUAGAUUAGUCAUUGAUAAGGCUUGAACUCAAGUCGGCAUGCAAGGAUUCGACAUCUUUUCACCACUGUGGUAAAGAGCCACUUACAAACAUAUUCUUUAUUUCAAUCAAUGCAGAUGAUGCUUACCGCAUAAACAAUCAUGUCUAUAUACAACAUUUAGGGUUCGAUCCAUACUAAGUUUUUGCAAGUGGCCCUUUACUAUAGUGGUGUGAAAGUGUUAAGCCCUUGCAUGACAGCGUGAAUUCAAACUUCGUUGGUGACUAAUUUAACAUAACCCAUCAUUUGACAAAAAAAAAAAAAAAAAAAAAAAAUCCAUACUAAGUUUUUUCUCUAACCUGCUAAAAUAAAUAAAUUAUAUUUAUUUUGGACAAGAUCAAAUAGAUACAAACGAAAAAAAACCAGACCGUGAGCUAUUUCCAAAGUCCAAAUGGACCUUUUACCCAAAGCCAUCACCUUUGCCCAACAUUCCCACCUUGUGCAGAGUGUGUAGCGCCACCGUAAAAAUUACCAAAUCUCAAAUCCUCCGCCGCCCAUGGCGGGUUCGUCCCUCAUGGAAAACCUCUUCCAGCGCACGCUGGAGGACCUAAUCAAAGGCCUCCGCCUCCAGCUCAUCGGCGAGUCCGCCUUCCUCUCCAAAGCCCUCGACGAAAUCCGACGCGAAGUCAAAUCCACCGAUGCCGACACCAAGCCAACGCCCUGCACAAGCUCACCUACCUCUCCUCCCUCCACUUCUACGACAUGUCCUUCGCCGCCUUCCACGUCGUCGAGCUCCUCUCCUCCACCCGCUUCUCCCACAAGAAGAUCGCCUAUCACGCCGCCGCCCACUCCUUCUCCGAUGACACCCCCGUCCUCGUCCUCAUCACCAACCAGCUCCGCAAGGACCUCACCUCCACCAACGAGUUCGAGGUAAGCUUAGCGCUCGAAUGCCUUUCUAGAAUUGCUACUGUAGAUCUUGCUAGGGAUUUGACACCUGAGAUUUUCACCUUGCUGGGUAGCGGUAAGGUUUUCGUUCAAAAGAAAGCGAUCGCCGUGCUUUUGAGGGUGUUUGAUAAAUACCCAGAUGCUGUGAGGGUGUGUUUUAAGCGUUUGGUUGAGAAUUUGGAGAGUCCUGACUCGCAGAUUGUGUCUGUGGCUGUUGGGGUGUUUUGUGAGCUUGCUUUGAGAGAACCCAGAUCGUAUCUUCCGUUGGCGCCGGAGUUUUAUAAGAUCCUGGUUGAUUCUAAGAACAAUUGGGUUUUGAUUAAGGUGUUGAAGAUAUUUGCAAAGUUGGCCCCUUUAGAACCUAGGUUGGCAAAGAGGGUUGUUGAGCCGGUAUGUGAGCAUAUCAGGAGGACCGGGGCCAAAUCGUUGCUGUUUGAGUGUAUUAGGACUGUGGUGACCAGUUUGAGUGAUUAUGAAUCUGCAGUGAAGGUGGUGGUUGUCAAAAUUCGCGAAAUGCUAGUUGACGAUGAUCCGAAUCUUAAGUAUCUCGCAUUGCAGGCACUUUCCGUUGUUGCAACAAAGCAUUUGUGGGCAGUUUUGGAGAAUAAGGAGGUUGUGAUUAAGUCUUUGAGUGAUGUGGAUCCGAAUAUCAAGCUGGAGUCUUUGCGUCUUGUUAUGGCAAUGGUAUCUGAGAAUAAUGUGGCUGAAAUUUGCAGGGUUUUGGUCAAUUAUGCUCUUAAAUCUGAUCCAGAGUUUUGCAAUGAGAUUCUUGGUUCCAUUUUAUCAACAUGCUGCAGUGAUGUAUAUGAGAUUAUUGUGGACUUCGAUUGGUAUGUAUCACUUUUGGGAGAAAUGUCGAGGAUCCCGCAUUGCCAGCAGGGGGAAGAAAUUGAGAAGCAACUUAUUGAUAUUGGUAUGAGGGUCAAGGAUGUUAGACCAGAGCUUGUUCGGGUUAGUCGUGAUCUGCUGAUUGAUCCUGCAUUACUUGGUAAUCCAUUCUUACACAGGAUGUUGUCGGCUGCUGCUUGGCUGUCAGGGCAAUAUGUUGAGUUCUCAAUAAACCCAUUUGAACUCAUGGAGGCACUAUUACAACCUCGUACAACUCUCUUGUCACCAUCUAUAAGAGCGGUAUAUGUACAGUCUGCUCUCAAAGUUUUACUCUUUUGUCUAAAUGCUUACCUUUUGCAGAGGGGGAAUGCUGCAUCCUCCUCAACUUUUGAUAUAUUGGUGCCAGAUGUUCCAGGAUUGGUUUCGGAACGAGAUGGCCCAGAGAGUUCUAGUUUGGCAUCAUGUGAUGCUCCUGUGCAUUGCAAACAGGAUGAAGGAUUCAACCCGAGGGUUUUUAAUCAGUCUUUUGAAGGUCUUUCUGUAGAACAUGGUGGGGAGGAAACAGCUACUCUUGGGCAAGCAUCCGCAUCGUCUUCAUUGAAGGAUAGUUUCACACAUGAAUCUAUCGUAAACCUUUUAAAUCGAGUUGAAUUGGCUGUGGUUCCCCUAACAGGAAGCUAUGAUGUAGAAAUACUAGAGAGAGCACGAAAUAUACUUUGUUUCACCGAGUUGAUUAAGCGAGAUCUGCUUGAUAGUCCAAUACAGAAGGAAGAAAGUUUGGAAAGGGAAGGAGCCCAAGCGUCUCAAAUCAUCAAAUUGAUGCAUGAUGCCUUUUCAAAUGAUCUAGGUCCUGUCUCGGUAAGUGCUCAAGAAAGAGUUCCUGUACCAGAUGGGUUAGUGCUUGCGGAGAAUCUUGAAGACUUGGAAACAAUCUUCGGUGAUGUUCAACUACCUUCAUUAAAUUCGUUCUCUCUUGGAAGCCCACAGUAUGUGGAGAGAGCUGGUUUUUCUAUUCCUAUCCAUGAAAUCAAAGAAGAGCCAGUGCCAUCGAGCGAAUCCACAUCUCUACUUGCAGAGCACCGUAAGCAGCACGGUUUAUAUUAUCUUUCCUCUGCGAAUAAAGAAGAUGAUUAUCCACCUGCCAAUGAUACUAAAUUACAGCAUGAUACCAAUGACGACGACGGAGAUCUAGUUAAGCUUACAGAGCAAUUACUUCUUUCUAAGAAAAAGCCAAACCAUGCAAAGCCUCGGCCUGUGGUGGUGAAAUUAGAUGGAGAUCAAGCAACUAUUGCGAACAACCCUCGUCUGAAGGAAGAUUUGUUGUCUGGUACCGUGAGAGACGUUCUUUUAGGUAGUGACACCAAUCCCACUUCAUCCCAAGGUCAAGCAUCCACCAAGUCAUCGAGUAAGAGAAAAGGGAAGGAGAAACUAAAUGUUGAUUCUGCUAAAGAAAACUUGGGUGGUGUUGAAAAGCAUGAUCAAGGAAACCCAAGUUCAAGAAAAAGCAAGCACCAUAGUCAUAGUAAAGGGAGAAGACACGGAAGCCCGGGAAAAAAAGGAGAUGAAACAGAAGAAAAUGGUCAGAAAUUGCAGCAGAAAAGUAAUCGUACCCAUAGUAAGCACAAAGCUCGACAACGAGCGGAAGUGCCAUUGAAUGUGGUUGCACAAACACCGGUAAUUCCAGAUUUUCUUUUGUAGUGUUAACAACGUUCAAAUUUACUUCUUACUCAUCAUUUUCACCAUACUUGUCCUUGUAUACUGUUGAUGUUUGUCCUGCAGUCCAGCCGGAGAUUUUAUACAUUUGGUUUCUCUAGUCAUGGUUUGUGUUUGCACAACUGUUGGGAUUUUUUUCUGUUUUAAGCGAGACGACGUGAUCGUUGCAUCGUCUCGCGAAUUUCAUUCGAGCUAUGAAGUUUAAGGUUCUUUCUAAUUUCUGUUUUGAGUAUUACUUGCUUCUUGACGAUAAAAACGACAGAUUUGUCAAGAGGAGUAAAUUGACACAUUGUAAAAUUUAGGUGGCUCAAAAUCAAACUGAAAUUGCAGUGGCCAAUCGGAACAGGAGUAUUCAUAAAAUUUGACCAUUUUUUCGUCGAAACCACGCUAACCGAUUUUUCUUGAGUACCUAGAGAAGCUAAUAGAGACAUUUUUGGCCGUUGAAUUAGAUCCAUCAACUUAAACUUCAACUGUAACGGAUAUUAGUUUUGCUUCCUAGCGAAUCGGGUUCGGUUUCUCCUGAACUUGCCUUUUCGUCUUCUCGGAAAGGCAGUUUCGUAUCGUCUUCGUAAUAUGCAUGAACCUCUUUCCUAUGCGUAAGAUGGACUUUUUCUACCCCGGAAGAACAGGGGAAACAGCUUUAAUGCAUUCCUUCUUCAAUCAUUGUUGCCCCAAAUCUAGGUGCUUGCUAGCUCAUACCAACUUGGUGACAUUUGCACCGGGAAUGAAAGUCAAAUUUUAUUAUGUUCGGUAGACCUAACAAAUAGGUCGUAACGUCCAAGUUAAACUUUAACUAAAACAACUUGGAAUGAAAGUCAAAUUCUAUUAUGUUUGGUAGACCUAACAUAUAGGUCGUGUUUGUCGUGUUCGUGUCGUUUUCAUAUCAUAACCGUAACGGGUCGUGUUAUGUUAAACUCAUUAUCUUAACGGCUUAUUAACAAGCGAUCUGAUAAUGAUCUGAUAUGUUAAUGGAUUGUGUCGUUUCAUGUGGGGUUAACGGGUCAUGCAAGAAAUUGCCAUUAACAUGCCUUGUUUGUGUUAUACUCGUUAUCUUAUUGGGUUCUUAACAGAUGACUCGAUAACGACUUGACUUGUUAACGGGUUGACCUGAAACUUGUUAUUUUUGUAUUAUUUCAUGUCGGAAUAACAAGUCGUGUAAGAAAUCGUCUACCUUGACGAUUUUAAAGAAUUAACGGUAAAAUACUUGGGAACAUACAAAAAAAAUCUUCAAACUUAGGAUUGCAAUUUAGACGUAGGAAUGCUCGAACAGGUGGAAGACCAGUGGCCAUGAAAUGUCAACUCUUUAAAAGAUCAAAGGUGAUGACCAAGGCCUAAUUUAUGUGGUGUCGAUUUUCAAGAGGUCUUUCGAAACCCUAGGUCGUAGCAAUACCAAAACACAUGCAUGCAUCUUAAAUUUCACUCUACCUAAUCUUCUUUUUCCCAAGAAAAAGAAAGCUACUUCCGCUUUUAAUGUCCUAGCCUCCUAGGUUUAUUAAUGUAGGCAUCGAUCUGGUUUAGCUUGAAGUAGAUAGCUAGCUAAGUUCUUCUUCGAUCUGCUAAACUCUCCUAUCCUGCUCCCGGAAAUGGGAAGCGAACUCCGAAAAUCUCAGCCAAUUUCGAAGCUUUUGGUAUCGUAUUUGCAGUUUAGCCAUGCCUUUCAUCUAGUGUUUUUUGUCAUUGGUUUGUCCAUUGGAGUCAUGGUCAGUUCAUACUACAAGACCUUCUUCCCAUUCACCUUACAAACCACUUCCUCCUCGUCACUGCUACUGCCGCCUGCCUCAAUAUCACAGUUUCUGCCACAACCACCCUCACCGCCGCUUCUCCCUUUACAGGAAUCAGGUACUGAUAACGUUGCAUCGGAUACUGAGGCACUUUUGGUGCACAAGAUGGUUGAUGACGGUGAGUUGUUCUGGAGAGCAUCUUUUGUUCCAAGAAUUGGAAAGUUUCCAUAUAACCGUGUGCCUAGAAUUGCCUUCAUGUUUUUGACAAAGGGGCCCAUACCUUUGGCCCCAUUGUGGGAAAUGUUCUUCAAUGGCCAUGAAGGACUUUACAACAUAUAUGUCCACCCUCAUCCUUCAUAUGUUGAGUCAUGGCCUCAAAAUUCUGUUUUCUAUGGAAGGAGAAUUCCAAGCAAGGUAGGUUAGUUUUGAACUUUUUUUGUGGAUAAAAAUGGUCAAUUCGAAUCAUGUAAUUUUUCAUGCGUAUAUAAAUUAAGACUGUUGUUAUUUGUACCAUAUUUACUGAUUACAUAGUUGAUUACCUCUCGAAUGUAGGCGGUUGAGUGGGGAAGUCCUACAAUGAUCGAUGGUGAGAGACGCCUGCUAGCAAGUGCCCUCCUUGACUUCACUAACGAGAGAUUUGUGCUACUAUCCGAGUCUUGCAUCCCAUUGUUCAACUUCACCACAAUAUACAGCUACCUCAUAAAUGCCAGUGAGAGCAAUAUAGGUUCAUACGAUGACCCGAGGAAGGUGGGUCGGGGCAGAUACAAUCCGAGAAUGUGGCCUGAAAUCAACAUAUCGGAUUGGCGCAAAGGCUCCCAAUGGUUCGAGGUCAGCCGGAAGCUGGCAGUUGAGAUCAUAUCAGACAACAAGUACUACCCCAUAUUCAAAGAGCAUUGCAGCCCUCCUUGCUACAUGGAUGAGCAUUACAUCCCAACCCUAGUGAACAUCAUUGGCCCUGAAGAAAACUCGAAUCGGAGCGUUACUUGGGUCGAUUGGUCCAAAAGUGGUCCUCACCCCGGAAGAUUUGGGAGGAAUGAUGUUUCAGAAGUAAUUUUGAAUCAGAUAAGAUUUGGUUCUAAUUGCAGUUGUAGUGGUAAUAGUAGUGCAAAUAGUACUACUACUUGUUCUAUGUGUUUUUUGUUCGCUAGGAAGUUCAUGGGAGACACUUUGCGGCCUCUCUUGCAAAUUGCACCCAUGUUGCUAGGUUCCUAGGUUCCAUUUCAUAAUUAUACCUUUGUAUGUGAAAUUCAUACGUAUUAAAGAGUAUAUCAUCAAACGUGUUGGUUUUGUAUAUCCAAAUAACAUUACUCUAUUUAUAUUAUUACAAAUUUGAUAAAUUAACAUGUAUCUAUCCAUCUUACGGAAUAUUUGAUGAAAAAAAUAUCAAUUUAUUUUUGUACAUUAGGCACUGAAGACCUACAUGCAUUUAUCUGUUGCAUAUUUUCUGUAAAUAUUGCGUUUUCUUGUAGGAACCAAUGAACUUGAAGUUCAGAAAAUUUGAACCCUAAGUUUUUGAAUAAGUGGCAUGAAAACCAGAAGUUUUUCUUAAAACAUUACAUCUAAGAAACUAACAGUUUUUUAUGAUAAUUUAAAUCAAUACAUGUCUAAUAAAACCGAAAUGUUCUACUCCUUAUGUAUGGAUUGCUAAAUUUUGUCUUCAUUGGACUAACCACACUUUUGUCCCUUUUUUUUUUUUACAGUUACAUGUUGAAUUUGAACAAACUUGGCUUUACUGCUUUGGAAGUCUCCGAAAGAAACUACCAAAAGUUGGUCCAAGAUGUGAAGCUCCAUUUUACUAUUAAGAGCCUUGAAGCUACCAUAGAAGCUGAGGAGAAUGUUUUGGUUGGCGAAGCUGACAAAGCAACAUCCAUGAUCUUCAUAUGAAAGCAUAUCAUGACGCACUACAAAUCGAGUACCUCGCAGAGGAGGAUUCACGAGCUUCAUGGAACGAUUUGGAGGAUUGCUUUGAUCACCAAGGAGAUAUAUUCUUGUAUGAAGUAAGACACGACUUGCAACAUUUACGCUUCCAAGACUUUAAGUAUGUGAAUGAAUGCAAUUUUGAAGUUUAUCGAAUCUAAUCACUCUUAAGUUCUGUAAAGUAGACUUAACUGAAUAGGAUCUCCUGGAGAAGACCUAUUCAAUCUUCCAUGUACCAAUAUUGUCUUGCAGCAACAAUAUUGGGCACAGAACUUCACUACAUUUUCGGGUUUGAUCUCUAUUUUACUUCUUGCUGAAAAGCUAAACUAGCUGUUGAUGAAAAAUCAUCAGGCUAGACCUAUUGGCUCGAUCGUUGUGCCUGAAGCACACAAUAGCAAGAAACAAUGCCUGAGUUGUUUCUUUAAGCUUGGUAGGCUUGGCUGUAAGCCGAAUGCCUAAGGUCAACAAUGAAGGCCCAUCUGAGGGAGGAAAAGAGCCCAAAAGCGUUGUCACCUUGCUCACAAGGCCUUGAACUUAAAGAAUAAAGGUAAGAGAACCAACCUCAUGGAUGCAAAUUGUGUUAUCAUUGUGGAGGCAAGGACCAUUGGUCCCGCAUUUGUUGAGCUCUCGCCAAGGUUGUAGCUGAGUAUCAUUCUCGUCGUCAUAAGUUUGAAUCAAACUUUGCUCAAGUGGUGGAACCCAAAACUAUGAAAAUGGAGGUUUUUGACUUUUAGAAACCAACUGUUCCAAUGAAAGAAUAGAUUCUUAGACAUUGGCUCACAUAUUGGCCGAAACAUCCCCUAUGUUUUGGAUUUAAGUUUUGGACAAUUUUCUUUAGGCCAUCUCUAACCAAAAGGGCCAUCGUCUAGAUUAUAGCCCUACAAGAAAUUAUUUUUUAAUGAACAGUGUCAGACCAUAUUUAUAUACCAUCUCCAACUGAGUGGGCCAAAUGGUCAUAGGUUAAACAUAGCUCGUUUUGACACAAAACCUAUCUCCAACCGAAUGAGGCUAUUUUUUAGCCCUGUAAAUAAUUUAUUAUUUUAAGUUUUUUCUUUAAUAUAUUGGUUAAUUGAAUUAAACUACCAUAUUAAAAUCAGGUUUUCAGACAUAUUUUGAGUAUCACUUGUCGCUAAAUGAAUAAGCCUCCAAAUUUCUUAUCUUUAUAUAAUCUCAAUAAUUUUUCGGAUAGGAUUUGGAGUGACACGUGUCGCUAAAGUGAGUAACUCUCCAUAUUUUUUUUGUUUAUGUAAUCUUAAUAAUUUUUCGGAUAUGAUUUUGAGUGCCAGGUGUUGAGAUGUAAUUGGUUAUGCAAAUUUUAGAUAGGAUUUUUAUUUACGUGACACUUCUUAUCUUCAGCUUCCAAUGUUACUAAAUUGGCUAGAUAUUGGGGCAGAAUUCACACACCUUCAUCUUUUCAAAUGGUAAAAAAGAUGUGAGAAAUUGUGUAAAAAUGGCUUAGGUAUUUAUACAAAAAAAAAAAUUAAAAUUAAAAUUAAAUUUUUUUAAAUUUCGUCAAAAAUUUUUUUCAAAUUCCAAUGGCUACGUGACGUCAGGAUGACGUCAUGUUACCAUUGGACUGGAUUGGGCCUACCCAAAUCUGGCUAGCUGGGUGGCUUUCUUUGGCCAGCCCACAUGCCUUGUGGCUGAUUUAUGGCCCAAUGGGUCCUACAAGCCUUUUGGUUCAACCUUAGGUUGGAGAUGAGUUUUGUGACAAAACGGGCUACAUUUUGGCCUACAUCCCUAUAAAUAGAUGUGAAAAAUAAAUUAAAACAAAAUCAACCCACAUCAAGCCCUAACACAUCUACGCCCACCACUUUCUGGUGGCUUUUUCACGAUGUCAGUGAAUCUUUUGUGCCAGCAUCUCCUCUCUGUCUCCUCCUCUUCCGUUUUACAUUGUUUCUUUUUGUUUUUUUUUUAUUAAAAGUUUCCAAAGAGAAAUUGUCAACCCUCCUUCAGGCCAUUGCAAUUAGUUGCAAUGUUGAAUACACGAAUUUGGUGGAAUGGAAUCCAAAUGCUUAAAAAAGGUUCAUGCUUUUUUACUUUGUGAAUGAGUUAAUAAUGAGUCUCACAUUGAUGAGAGGAAUGACUUUGCAAGGGCUUAUAAGUAAGUUGGGCUACUUCUCAUAUUGUCAAUUUAUUUUAUGGUGAAACCGUAACUUUCUUCAUAGUAUGUCCCAUAUGUGAAGCCAAAUGGUUACAUGCGUUGCACGUCAUCAUGUUGUGUUGUCUACGUGUUAUACUUGAAAAUUUGCCAUACGUGAGGGGGCAUGUUGAGAAUGAGUCCCAUCACACGUCAUCCUGUUGUGUUGUCUACGUGUUAUACUAGAAAAUUUACCACACGUGAGGGGGUAUGUUGAGAAUUAGUCAUACAAUUAAGGAAUGAAGGAUCUUGCAUGAACUUAUAAAUAAAUUAGGCUACUCCUCAUAUUGCCAAUUGAUUUUAUGGUGAAACAUUAACUUUCUUCAUAAUGAAAUAGCCCUUCUACUUCAUGAAUUGGCAUUUGGUCAUGAAUUGGCAUUUGGUGGAAUGGAAUGCAGAUAUGAGACUUACAAUCCUGUCGUACAAAACCGAUGACACGAGGAACCACGAUCUCCAGUUUGACGGAGAAGGGGUGGUGGAGGGGAAAUUUUUCAAUAUGACCGGAAUACGAGGUGAUAUAUCACGUAUUUUUAUAUAAGUGAUGAAAAAUUUUAAUUUUUAAGUUAUUAACUUUUUAACACACAUAUCCCACAAUUUAUAUAAUGACACGUGGUAUACCACUCGAAUUCCGAUCACAAUAAAAAAUUUCUCGUAGCGGAGGCAUCGAAAAGAAGGCGUUGAGAUAAGAGUUGAGAUAAGAGGGAGCCUUCAUGUUCUAUGAACGUUGUCCGAAGUCAAAGCUUGUGGAAGGCAAUUGUGGCUGCCAUGGAAGGCGGUGCGAUGCAAAAAGUGGUGUCGUUUAAUUUGAAGUUGCCAUGGGGUUUUUGACGAGGAUUAGAAUCCCAUAUUGGGUGUGGAAAGAAAUUUAUUUAUUUAAUAUUUCUUCAAUUUUAUUCAGGGGUGAUAUAGGAAUUUUAAAAAAAUAUCUUUUAAAUUGAGUGUGAAAAGAAGUUUAUUGGGUUAUAAUAAAAUUUCUUUUUUAUUCCGUUUCAUAAUUAUACGUUUGUUUACAAAAUUCUUUUGUAUUAGAAUCCAGAUAACAUUACUUUAUUUAUAUAUCACAACUGUAAUAAAUUAACAUGUAUCUAUCAUAUUACGUAAUAAUUAAAAUUAAUUUUUUUUUAAGGAAUGUGGUGGCUGCAAGUUAUGCCUGGUGAAUUUUAGCAUUCAUGUAGGGCAGCCAGCAAUGUUCAACAGUGGCAGCUCAGGCAGGCAUGACCUGGGAUUUUUUUUAAUAUAAUUAAUUUGCCUAAAAUAAGUAAUAUACCCCAUUAAUUAGAGUGACAAUUACCGUACAACACCCACGUGGCAUAAAAAUAAACAAACUCUCAUGUUACUUCAAAGGCUAGCCUACUCUUAUAUAAAAAUGUUAUUACAAGUUUACAACCUAUUUAGAGUGUGGAAAUAAUCGAUUGGUUCAAUGAAUUCCAACAUAAUAAUAUAUACCUCAACCUAAACUGUUUAAAGCUAAUAUUACUUACAAUUUAGAUGAAUCGAGGUGGUUAUUUUUGGACAGGAGAAACACUUUAUGUUUAGAUUUAGAGUUUAGAGCUCUCGUUGAUUGUUUUUAUUAUGCACUUCUGUUUUCUCACGUAAUUUAAAAGAAAUUAGUAUUAAUUAUAGCAACACACUAUGCUAUACAUGUAGCGUUAACUUGCGUACGAGAGUUUAGACCUAAAAAGACAAAGGAAACUGCAAGCCUUUUAGAGAAUAAAAAGUCAUUAACAAAAUUCAUGUUGAUGAUUUGUUUUCUGUUUUUCUAAGAUGUUACAUGGUGAAUUGUUCUUGGACCCUAUAUUUUAUUUGGCUUCAUCACUUUCUAUCCUUUAUUUAUUAUAAUUCAAAUAUAGAACUGGGGAGGGGCAGUGUCAUUCUUACUUUUUUUAUCAUUCAUUUCUUUUAAGGGAAUUUUAACGAAAAAUCAUAUUUUUACACUAAAAAAAUCAAUUAUGGUACUAUUCACUUUAUAUUUUUUUUUAUUAUCGUUAAAACUCAACUUUUUCAUUAGUUUUCAUUUCUUUCAAUGGCAAAAGAAAUUUUUUUUUAAUUGAGGGGUAUAUUUGGAAAUCAGUUCUUCCCUAUCUUGGAUUAUAAUAUAAGGAAAACUAAUGAAAAAAACUUGAAAACUUUUAGUUUUAACGAUAAGGACAAAAUAAAGAGUAAAAUGAAUAGUAUCAUGAUUGACUUUUUAUUGUAAACAUGUGGUUUUUUUUUAAAGUGAACAGUACCAAGAGCUUUUCGUUAAAGUUUCCAAUAAUAUAUGGUUAAAUUUCACCAAAUCUUCAAACUUCAAAGUUGUAUAAAACUUUAGAACACUUCCAUUUUUAAUCAGAUUUAUAUCCCACUUAAGACUUAUUUCUUACAUAACUCAAGGAAUCCAUACUUCUUACAACCCUUGUUGGAAAUUUUGAGUAGAAAUUUCUUUGUCCCACAUUGGUCAUUCCCAAAAGAUUUCAUCACUUUAUAAGGCUUUGGCCCUUAUAGAAAGUAAUUGGAGUAAUAGGCAUUGAAGAAUAAAAUUGGGCUCACCCUUGGGUUGAGCUUUGGGGUGUACUAAUUAAUUGGUAAUUAAUAUGGAAAUUGUUAAUCACUUUGGAGUGCUAAUAAUAGUUCCCAUUAAUAUAUAAUUAAUUAUCAAAAGAUGGGCCUUGAGGUUUUGAAAAUUAAUUUCUUUAGUUAAUUGUUUUUAAAUAAUUUCGAAUUUAAUUAAAUUAUUUUUUAUUUGAACAGACUCAUCUUUUCAGAUGAAGUCUGAAGUCAAUGAAAAAACACAGAGAACUCAGCACCCCAUCUAAAGAGAUGUCUCCCAACAGUCACAUCCCAUUUUCAUACUUGUUGCAAACAUGUAUAAUCCCACUAUAUAUACAUCAAUUUGCAUGACAUUUAAGACACAUAAAAUCAACAUUCUUCUUCUACAAUCACAAAUAUCCUUUAUCAAAGAACCACACAAAAAUUCGCCAGAAGUCAAGUUUUUUGAUGCUGGAAUUUUGAUUUGAUCGUUGAAUCCUAGUAAAGCAAAUGUCCGUAGAACUACAAGCACCGAGUAUGGGCGAAAUUUUUGUUUCAAGGACAUUGCAGUACGCAAGCCUCGAUUUUCAAUAUUUAUGUUUAAUAUUAUUUUAUUGUUCAUACACUGUUUAUUAUUAGCAUAUAUAAAUUUAUCACAGAUUGUUGACAUAUCUCCAACACCCACUUCUUUUACAUACACUGUCUUCCUCACCCACUAUACAACUUCAUAAACAUUUUUAUCCUAACUCAUGGUUUUUUUUUUUUUAAGAAAAAACCCAACUCAUGUUUUGUUGUUCCUCGUUUUUUUAGCAAGUCUUUUAUUACUAAAUCCUUCGAGAAAUUCGAUGUAUCUUGAACACCAACACGCAUUUUUUUAUUUACUUUUUAUGAAUUAAAAUUUAUCCUUGAUUAAUGAUGACGGUCCUUGUAAAUCUUAUUUGUAGUUUCCUUUUGAGUUAAUUUAAGGCUCCAUGACCCUGACCCUUCAUGUUAACAAAUAAAAAAAAUGAAAAAACUAGUGUGACGAGAUCAAUUUAAGAAUCUUUUAAAGAGAGGGGAGAGAGAGAGAGCAGCCCCAAUAGUUCUUUUUUUUUUUUUUUUUUUUUUCAAGAUUUACAACAGCCCCAAUAGUUCUUUGAAGCUUGCAAAUUUCAUUCAUUCCAUUUCAAAAACCAAGAACACUCCUCAUUCUUCAAAACCCUCUCCCAAAAAAAUGAUGAAUAAGCAUCAGCAACACCACCCACCACCUUCAUUUCCAAAGCACUUCCUCAAUGCCCAAAUCCACCUCCAUAAAAUCGUCUCAAGUUUUCUAAUCUUUGCUUUCGGUUUAGCACUAGGCGCUUCCCUCAGCAUCUACCUCAAAGAUUUCCCCUUCCAACUUUAUUCAACACAAAACAAAUACUCUCAUUUGUCAACAAAUAAUCUAACAUUUUCUUCUCCACCACCUCCACAAUCUCUCAAUAUCCCAACAAAUAAUCGAACAUCUUCUUCUCCACCACGACCACCACAAUCUCUCAAUAUCCCGACAAAUCAAACAAGAGCCAAAACCUCCGCCGCCAGCCCUGUACCACCAAUAGGGUUGAAAGAAUACACUAAGUCGCCGAAUAUUUUGCAUGAAAUGGACGACGAUGAGCUGUUGUGGAGAGCUUCUCUGGUGCCGCUACGGCGGGGUUUGCCAUUUAAACGGACUCCAAAAGUUGCAUUCAUGUUUCUGACGAGAGGGAGCCUGGCAAUGGCUCCUCUCUGGGAAAUGUUCUUCAAAGGACAUGAAGGGCUGUACUCCAUUUAUGUCCAUGCCAAUCCGGAUUUCAAUGACACCAUACCUGAAAACUCGGUUUUUUAUGGCAGGAGGGUUCCGAGUAAGGUCAGUUUAUCAUGUUACAAUCCUAAUUUUUCUUGAUUAAUUUUCAUCAAGCAUUUUUGUUACAAGUGUUUUUAUCUAAUUUACAGAAAAAAUUGGGAAUAUAUAUGAUUAACUUGUAGUAGUUCAAAGCAAUGAUGACUUUGCGUGUAUACAUAUAUAGCAAAUUGAAUUACGCCACACAAAGAGUAAUGCUAGAGAGACUGAAUUUGUAGAAUAAAUUUUGUAAACUAAAUGAUAUGGAAGUUGAUGAUGAUUAUUACUUCCCAAGCCAACCUUUAUGGGUGUUCUGUCUAGUUAACUGAUGGUAUGGAGUAGAAUGCUUUAUGCUAGCAGCUAGCUUCAUUAAUUUUUUUGUGUACGCAAUAUGUUCUCCUUUUUGUUGCAACAAUAUUCUACCCGUUGUAAAAUUGUUUGAGUUAAUUCACAUAAUGGAUUAUCCAUAGUUAAAUAUUAAAUUUGAGACCCCUUAUUUACAAGUGAAGAAUAAAAAAUCAUUAAACUAUAGUACUACACAUUAUUGCUUUAAUUUUGAUAUUCAACUUUUCUCCACAUUCAAAUUUGCAUAAGAAAGUGUUUUUUUUUCCUUCUUUUGGCUUUUACAGUAAAGCUUUACAACUAUUUUAAUUUUUAAAAUUUUUAUAUUUAGAUUUUAUACUACGCACUUAAUUACUUCUUUUCAUAUAAACUAGUAUUUGCCUACACAUUUUGUGUGUAUGAACACAUUUUUUUAGAAAAUGGGAAGGAGAGAGGGAGGGAGAGAGAGAGAGAGAGAGAAUGUGGGGAAUUGGGAGAUUUUUUUUUAAAUUAAAUUAAUUUUUUUUUAAUUUUUAAUUUUUAAUAUUGGAGGUAUUUUAAUAUCACAUGUAGGUGAAGUUUCAAUAACAAACAGUAAAAUUUAAACUUGUGAAAUUACAUUAUUGCCCAUCAUUUUUUUAUGUGAUAGAAGAUUAAUUUGUUUUUUCACUCUCUUUUGAUUGACAAAGAGAGUUUCAUUAAUUAGUAGAGAUUAGUUAGCCAUUUUCUAGACACCACCUUUUGGAUAACUAGUAAAAUCAAAUUGAUUUUUCUUGAGAAUUGAGGCCAUUGUUUGUAAAUGGAAAAGCCAUCAACCUUGCCUCAUAACAUGCCUCAUACAGUGGAGAACUUCAUGCCCAUGUUUUAUAUAUUAUUGGUCUGUAGAGUUGUUGCAUUACUUAAUUAUUCAUUUUGCAUAACAAGGCUUUGGAAGACCAAAUCAUCAUUUGUUUAUUUAAGUAUGUAUAUGUGUGAUUCUGCAUUAUGACAGGUUUGUCAAUAAAAAUCGGAGGCAGAUCCUCUCAAGACUUACACCUCCGGAGCCUAGAUUCACAUAAUUCUGGCCUUUAAAAUUUGAUCGUACAGCUAAAAUUUUUAUUAUUUUUUGAAAACUACAAUAAUUUUUGGCCGCAUGAUCAAAUUUAAAGAUCAAAAUUAUUUGAUCCUUGAACUCCGUAGAGGAUCUGCUCCCAUGAAAAUCUACCUUCCCUUUUUUUGGGUAAAGACGAUACGAUAGUAUAAAAAAUCUACCUUCCCUUAAUUACUUAAGCUUUUCUUCAGAAGUUAUUUAUAGUUUUAAAGGCACUGAAAAUAUUAAUAUUGAUAGUUGACAUUCUUUUCAAUGCAUCAUGUUUAAGGAAUGAUAUGUAUAUUAUCUAAGUUUCAGAAUACAUUAAACUUAAUAACUUAAUUCACUUAUAAGAUACACACACACACACACAUUAUAGAAUCUAAGCAGAUCUUCAUCUUUUAAUCCUUAUAAUAAUUGGAAUUACUGAUAUAGUGUCAAGAAAUGAUUUGACAGAAGAACAUGGGUAAAACCUGUCUAUAUGAGCUUUUCCCUGCGAUAUUUUUUGACAAAUUAAUCAUAUUCAACUGUGGAAGAAGUCGUGAAGACAAGAUGAACAAAUAACAAAUCAGUUUUGGGAAAUUAUUUGGUGGGGGUGAUUUAAUUUUUGGUUAAAAUAAUGCUAAUACAUGAACACUUUCUAGAUAACCAAAUGACACACCAGAUGUUUUUAUAAAGCCUGUUGAUAUAUAAAUUUCACAUUUCAGAAAUAUUAAUAAAUUUGGCAUAUGGAUUGAGUGGUGGACUCAAUUUUGUUGCAUCAUGCAUUGCUUGGAUUCUACUCCUUUUGUAACUAUCUGCAACAGAAUUCUAUUCAUUUUCAAGACCUUUCUAAAUUCCUUUCGUAAUGUUGUCUCUUUGUCAUGCAUGCAUGUGCAUUGUAUCAAAUUCAAGAAAGAAAGCAAAAGUGGCCCUUAGUUUCUUUCUUAGUUUCUUUUAUGUCCUUAGGAAGUACAUAAAAGUAAGUAUAUAGCAUAGUGUAACACAUCAUAUUCUAGAGAAAGGCAACCUAGCUAGGCUAACUAGUCCCUCUUAAUUAACAAGCAUAACAUAUUAGCAUAACAUGUGUCAUAUUUUCUUCCUGGAUGGAUGAGACAUGAUAGGUUAUCAGACUAUCAACAGUUGAUGUCGGACAUGUUAAGUUAUCAGAUUGUCAACUGUUGAUGAACAUGUUAAGUUAUUAGACCGUUAACUUUUGAAUCAAUGACUUAUAUAACUUUACGGAUUGUAUGACAAAACAUUUUCUCCAGUGUAAUGAUUAACUACUAACUCAAAUGGUUCAAUGUGCAGAAUGUGACAUGGGGUCAACCUAACAUGGUGCAAGCUGAGCGUCGCCUAUUAGCCAAUGCUUUGCUUGACUUCUCCAACCAACGUUUUGUGCUCCUCUCAGAGUCAUGCAUACCACUCUUUAACUUCAACAUAGUCUACAAUUAUCUCAUGGACUCAAACCAAACGUUCGUGGAGGCCUACGACCUUCCCGGCCCUGUCGGCCGAGACCGGUACAGGCACAAAAUGAGGCCUCAUAUCAUACUCGAUCAGUGGCGAAAAGGCUCACAGUGGUUCGAAGUGGACCGUGAGAUCGCGACCGCAAUGGUUUCGGAUGAAAAGUACUUCCCGUUAUUCACAAGGUAUUGCAAACCCCCAUGCUACUCCGAUGAGCACUACUUGCCCACAUAUGUAAGCAUCAAGUUUUGGAAGAAGAAUUCUAACAGGACGUUGACCUGGGUUGACUGGUCGAGGGGUGGGCCCCAUCCGUCUAAGUUUAUGAGAACAGAUGUAACGAUCGACUUCUUGAAGAAGCUGAGACAUGGAAGCAACUGUGAGUACAAUGGGAAGCCAACCAAUAUUUGCUUUUUGUUUGCAAGGAAGUUCUUGCCACACUCUUUAGAUAGGCUGUUGAGGUUUGCUCCAAAGAUCAUGAGAUUCAAUUGAUUUUUAGGGUUUAGAGGUUUUCUUUUCUUUUCUCAUCAUUCAUUUCUCUGUAAACUAAAAAGGCUUAUGGUUGUUUUUGUCAUUAGCUUUUGUGGCAAAUAAAAAAUAAAAAAUAAAAAAUAAAUGAAGGCCAAGCUCUAGAAAUUGUUUUCUUUACUUGUUGGGGUAAUUUGAGGUGUAUAAGGUUAAUUUUUCAAAAUGAUUGUGAUAUAGCGUGAUAUUUGUGACAUCCUCUUUUUCCUUUUGUGUAUCGUUGAGUAGAACACCACAUCUCAAAUAGAGAAAGACUUGCGUACAUUCUUUAGAACAUAACGUUUAAGAACAAUAGCACAAUGAUAUGUGGUAAAUUGAUUCUGUAAAAUUGUGUAACUGAAAGUGCAAAUGAUAGAUUAAAAAGUCAAUAAUUCCCUUACCUUUUGUAAUCGAGUAGGGUAGAAAUAAUUUUUUUUAACAAACAAUAUUAUCUACACUAAGGGGAUGUGGAGUGUGCUAAGCCUCACAAUGGGCUAGCAAUAAUGUGGUUUAAAGGCGAGAAUCGAAUUCAAGAUAUCUCACUUAUCAUUAUUCACGAAUGAACCCCAAAAAUGUAUGUAGAGUUAGGGCAAAUUAUCAACCGGUCCGUUUGCAUGUGAGGACGUAUUUAUUUAUUCCAAAUACAAGUGAUAGUAUUAUGUUAGUUUAGUGUGAGAAUGUUUGAAUUCGAGAUGCGGUGGGUUGAUGAUAUAUUUGUUAUUUACCAAGCCCUCCAUGGGCUGUGGCUCGACCCGGAUUUUGUUCAAAACCUUGACACCUUGCCAGGCCCAAGUCUGUAUGUGAAUAGAGGUUGGGUUGCUUAAGCUAUUUGGUUCAUCAGGCACUGCGGUGGAUCUGGUAGCUAUUUGGUGGUGGAUCUAGUGGCUGUUUGGCUGGAAUUUUAAUCUUUGACGGAAAUCGUUUUUGUGUUUUUUGUCAAAUCAGGGUUCGAUUUCUUGCCGGUUCAUACUACUUGUGUUCGAUCUUUGUAAAAUUUCUGGAAUUUCAUUCUUUGAAGGCGGUGAUUGUGUGUUGGUGAAUUUCUAGGGUACGAAGCCUCUAAGUAAUUGUUUGUGAUUCUUUCUAUUAAUCUGAGCAAUUCGAGCACGAAACUCCAUGUUAUUUGCAUUUUGUAUGCGAUGUGUAUAUCUGCGGUGAUCAUUUGUUGAAGAAUUGAAAUUUGAGUUUCUAUGAUGAGUUUUGUGGAUUGUUCUGAGUUUCUUGUUUGGCACGAAACAUGUUAGUGUUAAUUGUUGGCAUGAAGCUUGUUGAUUGUUCUGCAUUUCUUUUUGGCACGAAGCAUGUUGAUACUCAUUGUUGGCACGAAGCCAGUUUUUCAUCAAUUUCUUGAGCACGAAGCUAUCUGAAGAAGUAAAGUUCUCGGUGGUUUUUAGAUAUUAUAUGAAAUUUCUUGAAGUAUGGCGAUGAAUUCUAUCAAGAUUGACAGUUUAUUGGGAAUGUUAACUAUGAGACUACAAAUGACAAUUUUGUGAAGUGGUCUUUUCAAUUUCGAUCAGUUCUUGAAGGUUAUGACCUAUUUGAUCAUUUUGAUGGUUCUUCUGUGUGUCCACCGAAGUUUGUGUUUACUGAGGAGACUGGGAUUACUAUUGAAUUACUAAAGCUUAUAAGGAGUGGAUUAAAUAAGAUUAAGCUCUUGUUAGUUUUUUACUGGCCACACUUGGUGAUGAAGCAGUUGAGUAUGUUGUUGGUUGCAAAACUGCUCAUGAAGCCCGGACAAAUCUCCAAGAUAGAUAUGCUACUGUGUCUAGGGCUCGAAUUAAUCAUUUGAAGACAGAGUUUCACACUAUUAAGAAAGGUGCUAAUAGUGUAGAGAAGUAUAUGCUCAGACUCAAGGCUCUUAAAGAUCAAUUAAUUGCCAUUGGUGAAGUAGUAUCUGACAAUGAUCUAAUUGUAGUUGUUUUAGCUGGCUUACUUGCUGAGUUUAAUAUGAUUCGAACUGUGAUUGUAGCCUGUGAGACUCCAAUUUCCUUAAAGGAAUUUCAGGCACAAUUGUUGGCUGCUGAAAGAACUGCUGAAGAAUCUCACUCUACUUUAACUUUUCCAAUGUCAACAAUGUAUUGUCAUGGUGAAUAUUCUAAUGUUGCUCAACAUUCUCAAGGUUCUUCAUAAUAUUUCGAUGGAGGUUGUGGUUAUGUCGGUAAAAGUAGUGCUGAAUCUUCGACUAAUGGUUCAAGCCUCACUGGUGGGAUAAUUUCUCAAGCUCAAUUGCCUCAAUUUCAUCAACAAGGAAAUGGUAAAAAAGGUCGUACCCAGUGCACAAGGCUCCCGCUUUACGCAGGGUCUGGGAGAGGUGAAUGUCGGCUAGCCUUACCCCCAUUUAUAGAGAGGCUGCUCCCAAGUCUCGAACCCGAGACCUACCGCUCAUGGGCGAAGGCACUUGCCAUUGCACCAAGUGCGACCAUGGAAGAUUUAAUAAUAGACCAAGGUAUAAUGGUGGUAACAAUGGCAGAUUUUUUGGGAAUUCAACCAUGUCUUCUGGAAAUUUUGGUAAUAGUGGAGGUUCUAGUUCAAAAAGAGGAUCUAGUUGGCAGAAUUGGAAUGGCAACACUGGUUCUAAGUCUACUAUGAUUCCUGAAUGAUAGAUUUGUAACAAGCGCGGUCAUACUACACCAAACUAUUAUUGUAGGUAUUCUACAAGUUCUAACACUGCUCCUCAAGUUCCAAAGUGUCAACUAUGUGGGAAGUGAGGGCAUACUACUCUUAACUGCUACCAUAUGAGCAAUUAUGCUUAUCAGGGUGCUUAACCACCAUCUUCUAUCACUGCUCUUACUGCACAAACUCAGCCAAGUUUUGCUUCCUCUUCUCAACCAAACUGGGUGUUGGACACAGGUGUUACACACCACAUGACAGCAGAUUUGGAUAAUUUGACUCUGAUGGCUUUUUUUGAAGGAAAUGAAAGAAUCAUAAUGGGCAAUGGUGAAGGAUUUCUGGUUGCUAACACUGGUUUGGGUUCCAUUUUAACUCCUUAAAAAAUGUUAACUUUGAAAAUGGUUUUACAUGUUCCUCAAUUGGCUACAAGUCUAUUAUCUAUUUAUAGACUUUGUAAAGAUAACAAUUGUUAUGUUAUUCUUGAUGAGUUUGGUUUUUGGGUGCAGGACAAGGCAACAAAGAAAAUCAUCUUGAGAGGAAGGAGUAGUAGUAGUGGCUUGUAUUACAUUCUUCAACAACAUUUUUUCAAGUAUUCGCAGUUUUUGGACACUUUACCACAGGCUCUCUUGGGGCAGCUUGUGAAGACAUCUAUUUGUCAUCAUCGGCUUGGUGAUCCAACCAAUGAGGUUUAAUCCAAAAUGCUUAAGGAUUUUUCUAUUUCUGUUUGUUUAGAUGUACAUCCACAGAUAUACUCAUCAUGUAUUAUGGGCAAAAUGUCUAGACUUCCAUUUAGUUCUAGUACUACUAAGUCUAGUAUUCCAUUUGAAAAAGUGCAUACUGAUGUAUGGGGACCCUUACCCACUAUCUCUGUUGAAGGUUACAAAUACUAUGUAAUCUUUGUUGAUAAAUGCACAAGGUUUACUUGGAUCUUCCCACUUGUGAAUAAAUUUGAUGUAUAUGAUGUGUUUCUUAAAUUUCAUGCUCUUAUUGAGAAUCAAUUUAAGACAACCACUAAGUCAUUACAAACAGAUGAGGGAGGUGAAUAUAUGAGUGGAUUGUUUAAGAAAUUUCUGGAUUUACAUGGUAUUGUGCACCUUGUUUCAUGUCCAUAUACGCCCCAACAAAAUGGGUUAUCAGAAGGGAAGAAUAGGCAUAUUAUUGAGACUGUUGCGACUUUGGUCAGUGCUGCUUCUUUACCUCAGUAAUUUUGGUAUCAUGCUUGCAGUCAUGUAGUAUUUCUGAUGAAUCGAAUGCCAUGCCUAAAUUUGCAAAUAUCAUAUCCUUAUGCUAAGUUGUUUGGAAGGUCUCAUUCUUUAGUAAAUAUUAAUGUUUUUGGUAUGACUGUCUACCCUUACUUAAAACCUUAUAAUGCUAAUAAGCUGUAAGCUAGAAAUGAUGAAUGUGUAUUUUUAGGAUACUCAGUUGGUUAUAAAGGGGUGUUGUGUUACAAUAGAACUACAAGGAGGCUGUUGUUAUGUAAGCAUGUAAUACAUGAUGAAAGUAGAUUUCCCUUUAAGGCUCUUUGUCCUACAACCAUCAAUACAUCUAAUUCAUCUUUGGCCGAUUCCAAUUCCCAAAGAUUGUCAAUUAGAACAAUGCCUGUUGUUUUGCCAAGGCAUUCGAAUGAGUUCACAGAUCAGUUGUCCGAGAAUUAUGUGUGUAGUCAGAAUAUGGAAGUGCCAUCUUUGUCUUCUCAAAGUUUAAGUGUCUUUGCAAGUUCAGACAGUGUCUCAGUACAAACUACUACUCAAGCUACUACUCCACUAUCAACUCAUUCUUCCUCUCAAGUGUUGCCUAUCUAUACUCAUUCCCAAACUCAGGUAUCUUCUUCUUCCCCAGAGAUAUUGCAUACACCUACACAAUUUGAUACUCACAUCACUCAUUUAGAUAAUGAACAUGAUGUCUCAACCACUGUUAUACCUAGUACUGCAGUAUAUGUUUAUUCUGAACAUAAUAUGGUUACAAGGUUGAAAAGUGGUGUAAUACAGAGAAGGAAUUAUGCAGCUUAUCAUGUAUCGUUAUCUGAUAUACAGUUAUCUCCUUAGUCACAUAAUGAUGAUGUAGUCCUUUAUGGUUUCACUUCUGUAUUAGAUAUUCAUGAUUCUUUUGAGCCUUCUCAUUAUAAACAAGCAGUUGUAUCUGAGCAUUGGAGGAAUGCUAUGACAAAAGAGUUCAAUGCACUGCACAAACAAGGGACUUGGGAGUUUGUACCUUAUACAGAAAAUAAAAAUGUUAUAGGCAGCAAAUGGGUGUAUAAAAUCAAGAAAGAUCAAGAAUGGAAGAUUUCUAGGUACAAGGCUCGACUGGUUGCACAAGGGUAUAGUCAAGAACAAGGUUUGGACUAUGACGAAACUUUUAGUCCGGUUGUUCGACAUACUACAAUACAACUUGUUUUAUCUCUUAUUGCUAUGAAUAAAUGGGAUUUAAGGCAAUUAGACGUGAAAAUGCAUUUUUGCAUAGUGAAUUACAAAAAGAGGUGUUUAUGAAGCAACCUCAAGGGUUUCAAGAUCCUUGAUAUCCUAAUCAUGUUUGCAAACUUCUUAAAUCUUUGUAUGGUUUGAAACAGGCACCCCAAGCCUGGAAUGCAAAGUUUACUAGUUAUCUUCCUACUUUGGAGUUUCAGUCUUCUCACUCGGAUCCAAGCUUGUUUGUGAAGUUCAGUGGCAGAGAUGUGGUGAUUAUUCUUCUAUAUGCUAAUGAUAUUAUUAUUACUGGCUCAUGUUCCAAAGUUAGUGUAGCAAGUAAUUGAUGAUUUGGCCUUUGUGUUUGACAUGAAGGAUAUGGGUAGACUUACUUAUUUUUUGGGACUUCAAUUUAGUUACAGGGAGAAUGGGGAUAUUUUUAUUAGUCAGUCAAAAUAUGUUACUGAUCUCCUUACUAAGGCCGGUAUAGUUCAUUGUAGACCUUGUUUUACUCCUAGUAAACCUCAUACACAGUUAUUGAAGGAUGAAGGAGAACCAUUGUCUGAUCCAACAAUUUAUAGGAGUUUGGUUGGUGCUUUGCAAUAUUUGACCUUUACUAGGCCAAAUAUUACUUAUGCAGUCAAUUAUGCUUGUCAGUUUAUGAAUACUCCUACUAAGGUUCAUUUCUGUUUGGUGAAGCACAUACUCCAAUAUUUGAAGGGUACCUUGAAUUGUAAGAUUACUUAUUCAGCUACUGCCAAAUUGAAAUUGCUUGCUUAUAGUGAUGUUGAUUGGGCAGCUGACAUAAAUACUAGACGAUAAACCACUGGAUAUGUUAUUUUCUUGGGAUAUAAUCCUAUUUCUUGGCAGUCUAAGAAGUAAGGCAGUGUGUCUCGAAGUUCAACGGAGGCUAAAUAUAAUGUCUUGGCUAGUGCAGUUGCUGAUAUUGCUUCGAAUGGUUCUUAAGGAUCUUCAUAUGUUUUUUCCUUCUACUCCUUUGCUGCAUUGUGAUAAUUUGUCCACAUUAGCCUUAUGUUCUAAUCCAGUGUUUCACACUCGGAUUAAACACUUGGAUACUAAUUUUCAUUUCCUUCGUGAAAGAGUACAAAAAUGUGAUAUGGAGGUUCAGUACAUUCCUACAGAAGCUCAGGUUGCAGAUCUCUUAACGAAAGGAUUACACAGUCCUUUGUUUGUUCAUCAUUAUUCCAAUCUCAGACUGGGUUACCCCAUUUGAGAUUGAGGGGGAGUAUUAACAGAAGACACCUAAGCAUUUGGCUAAAUGGUACACCUUAGCAUUUGGUUAGCUUAGAAUUGUACACGUCAUCAUUUAGUUAGCUUAGUGGUUAAGUUGUCAAAAGGUAACAGCUGUAAUUCUAAGGCCAUAUAUAUAGUGGGAUAACCACUUGUAAUUGUAUUCAUUCAUUGCAAUAAAAUGCAACUUGUUCUCCAAGUUCUUUCUCUAUCUAAACCUCAUUCUCUCUCUUAUUCUUCAUUUUUGUUUCAUUGAUGGAUCAUUUGUUGGAUAUAUGUCAACAAUCUGUGAUAAUUUAUAUAUGCUAAUAAAUAAUAAAUGCAAUAGGAAUUAACAGAAUAUAAACUAGAAUACAAAUUAUAAAAACAGACAACUUGAAGAUCGAGGCUUGCGUACCAUAAUGUCCUUGAAACAGAAAUUUUGUCCCUACUCUGUGCUUGUAGUUCUACGGACGUCUGCUUCACUACGAUUCAACGAUCAAGUUAAAAUUCCAGCACCGGACAAUUUAACUUCUGGCGAAUUUAGUGUGGUUCUCUCAGUAAGAAGGUUUAGGAAUGUAGAAGAUGAAGUUGAUUAUUUUCUGUGUUCUAAAUGCCAUGCAGAUAGAUGUAUAUAUAGCAGAUGGAUGCCUGUUUGCAACAGGUAUGAGAAUGAGGUGUGACUGUUGGGAGACAUCUCUUCAGAGGGGUGCUUUUCUCUGUGUUAAAAAAGAACUCUUAGACUUCAUCUGAAAGGAUGAGUCUUUUCAUAAAAAAAUAAUAAUUAAAUUCGAAUUUAAUUAAAAAUAAUUAAUUAAAUCCGAAAAAUAAUUAAUUAAAUAAUUUAAUUAUUAGAGCCCGAGCGCAAGAGCCCCAAGGCCCAUCUUUUGAUAAUUAAUUAUAUAUUAAUUAUAUAUUAUUUAUAAUUAAUUAUAUAUUAAUUACCAAUUAAGUAAUACACCCAAAAGCCCAACCCCAAGGGUGAUCCCAAUUUUCUUCUCCAAGGCCUAUCUUCCAAUCACUUUCUAUAAGAGAUAAAACCUUAUAAAGUGUGGAGACCUUGUGGGAAUGGUCAAUGUGGGACAAACCCCACAUAAGAAAUUUCUAUUCAAAAUUUCCAACAUCAUUGAGUUCUUGAGAUCAUGAUUUCUCUCUAGACUCUAGUUAUCACAGUCAAACGCAGAAAAAAUAUUGCGUAUUUAGUCAAACACAGUACUUAAAGUGAGGAAUUACCUUGGUUCUUUAAGCAAACUUUCCUCGAAAUAUUCUUGGCUUGUAUGCAUAAGAAUUCAUUUUCCACGGCAGUCAAAUCAGAAUUUGAAAUUCGUGUGAGAUCAUUUAAGUUUAACAUGUAAACAACGCAUAUUGAGUGACGUGAGAACACGCGAACUGUUAGACUCAACAUGUAAAUUAACAUACUCUAAUAUUAAUAUAAAUUGACAAUAUAACAAAAAUUAACUUAAUUUUGUUAUAAACACAUGCAAGAUUACUUAAUUUUUCGACCUGGAUUUACUUUCAACUUUCAACAUCCAAAAGAUCUGAAAUUUUGCCCACCUAACUAAACAGUGACAAAGCUCCCUGGCAAAAGGAGCAAUACGUAUCUCUUUCCUUUCUUGUACUAUUUCACUUUUUGUCUUACCAUGGAGCAUUUGUUGUUAUAAGUUUAUAGUAUAGUAGUUAAUUAAUCAAAACGUCACACAAUUUAGAGGCCCUACAUGAAAAUGAAUUAGAUCCUUCUGAGAAAUGUAGUUAUUGACUAAUAGUAACAUCGAUGUACUUACAGUCAAGGAAGAAAAUAUCGGUGAUAUCGGAAAUAUCGGUAGUUCGAAAACACGGAAAUAUCGAUGGAAAUAUCGGUAAAAUAUCGAUAUCGAUAAAAAUUACAUGGAAACCACGAAAAUUGUAAGAAAAACUUGGAAAUUUUUAUUGAAACUUUGUAGGAUGUUUAUUUAGUCAAUUAUCUAUUAGUUUAUCACAAAAAAUUGGAAGGAAAUGCAUUGCAUGAUGGAUUUAACAUUAUCAAGUUGAUUAUAUAGCGAUCUGACAAACAUUAUGAGUGUAGAAAAUAUGUAGUAAUUAAUGAAAGAAGUCUAAACACACCAUAAUCAUUUAUAUAUAAUGAAUUAGUACAAUAUUUUACACUUUAGAACCACAUAGAGUUCCUAUGAGGUUCAAAUUUGUCACUAUCUUCAUCAUCUCUAUGUGUAGAAUGAGUGUAUUGUGAAGAGUAGUUAUCAAAUGAUAAAUCCCCAAAAAUAGUUUUGCAUGUAAUUGUUAAUAUGCCACCCAUAUGGAUCCGAGAUUGGUUGAGGUUGUCCAUAAGAAAAAUCAUUUGAAGAUUGAGGCUGGGAUUGAUUCCAUGAGUCGCUCGAUUCCAUCCCAACAGGAAUGGGAUAUGAAGGGUAGGGAAAUGGUUGGUUAUGAGGAUAACCAUAGUUACUACUUCCCAAUCCAACAGAGUCUGAAGUUCUAGAUAACGAGUCAUCUUCUUGACUUGACAAAAUCUUUUUGCCUCUUUCUCUGCGAGUAUAGUCCUUCCCUAUGGCACCAAUUCCUGGUCCUGCCCGCCUACUGCCAUGGUCAUCAUCCUGGGUUGCAUGCGUGAAGUUUGCCUCACCAGUGAAGGGGCUCAUAUAUCCGGGAGGUGGUGGUCCAUAAUAGUUUCCAUAUCCACCACCACUACCUCCAGCUCCACUAUGUCCUUCAUCAUUCCCACCUCCGGUGGUAGGUGAGUCUCCUGAUCUUGUACUAGAGCUAUCAUUAGUAUCAGCACGAUGUUGUGGUUGUGUAGGAUUGGAAAAAGGUGGAAUUCCAGUGUUGCUUGGUCUUGGCUGCAAAAGUUCUUCGAAAGAGUCAGCGCUGCUAGAUCCCACCUCCUCCUCUAAUACUCUUUCUACAUUUAUCCCUUCAUUACGUGCUUCUUCAGCAACUCUGGGAGCUGGGUUGCCUUCAUCAUCAUCUAAAUGAAGAGGUCUAAUCCAUUGAAAAAGUUGGUUACCCUCCGUAUCAUCAUCUUCACCAACAAUAUCAAACACAUCUAGUGGGUCACCACGGUCGACAUGAUCGAUUUCUGCUUCCUUAUCUCGAAUUUGAAGCUUCAUGUUGUAGUAGCAAUAAACUAAUUUUUCCAAGCUACUAUGAGCCAACUUAUUUCUUUGCUUUGUGUGGAUGAGUGCAAAGGUGCUCCAAUUUCUUUCACAAGCAGAUGAGGAAGCCGUUUGUGAUAAUACUUUUAUUGCUAACUUUCUCACAGUUGGUGCAUCGGUCCCAUACAUGAUCCACCAUUCAGCUACAAUGAAAAAUAAUGUUGAUAAGCCUAAUAACUCCAACAAAUUCUAUUAUAAACUUAUAGUGAAAUAUGUUUAUACUCACUAGGAGACAUAUUUGUUCGAGCAGCAACUGAUGUUGGUUCUCCAAAUGUUCUUCUUGCAUCUUUAAACCAUGUUAGCUGAAUACAAUAAAUUGUGUUAGUUUAAUCCAACAAAGUAAUUAUUAUAAUUUAAGUAAUUGUGUACCUCAUUUCCAAAUUGGCCAACUGCUGGUGAUGCAGGGUCUAAUUUUAUGUAUACAUUAUGUACAGCACGUAUAAGGUUACCAUCAUCUCCAACACCGGGUCUUAUAUUGGUAUCGGGGAUUCAAAUAAUAUGCUGUUCAAAGAAACACAUACUCUAAUAAGAUAAAUAAUACUUAUGCAACUAAAGAAAUGAAUUGCAAAUUAUGACAUAAAUUUAUACCUGCUGCAUGCAAAUCGUGGUAUAAUGUUUUAUACCAUCGGUCUUCAAUUAUUUUUACGACCCACCUUGCACCAUGUUUUCUUUCCAAUUCAUCCUUCACUACACGCAUCAACUCAUAUACAGCCCCCAUAGUAGGAUACACUUCUGUGUCAACGAUCCGUAAAACUUUGUAAAGAGGUUCAAACACUUGACACACAUGUUCUGUUUGACUCCAAAAAGCAUGAUCAAGCACUAUACUUUCCACCAUACGACCUGUAUUUGAGCGGCUGAAAUUGUGGUUGGCCCAAUCGUCACUAGUGAAUAGUUGCUUCAACCCUGCUUUCUUCUUGAGUAGGCUGUUUAAUGCAAUAUAGUUGGUGGCGAAUCGAGUGGAAGUUGGACGAAUAAUUUCUCCUCUGCAAAAUUCACGCAUCUUUGCCAACAACCAACCGUGAUUGUAAAUAUAAUUAGUGAUCGUUCUAGCUCUUUUGAUCACAGUAGCAACAUUCUCUCUCUUCCCCAUUGCCUCAAACAUAAGAUCAAUACAAUGUGCUGCACAUGAUGUCCAAAACACAUUAUGAUGCUUCAUUAACUUUUUUCCAGCUUUGACAAAUGCAGAACCGUUGUCGGUCACGACUUGGACAACAUUAUGCUCUCCCACCUCCAUGAUUACAUCCCUCAAUAAUUUGUAAAUAUACUUGUAAUUCUUUAUAUGGUCUGAAGCAUCAACAGACUUCAGAAAAAUUGUCUUGCCCUUGGAGUAUACCAUGAAGUUGAUGAUAGAUAAUCUGGUCGGGCCGGUCCAUCCGUCACACAUGAUUGUGCAACCAUUAGUUUCCCACUUUGACCUCAACUUGUUAACAUACUCGCCAAUGUCUUUAUACUCCAUAUCCAAAUAUUUGUUUCUUAUCUCAUAGGGAGUGGGAGGUUGUACUCCAACACCGGCCUGUUGACAUCCCACUACCAUAUUUUUGAAAUGAUGUGAUGAAGCCUUCGCAGCAGGGACAUUUUCAUAGAUAAAGAACUUGCUAAUUAGACGCCCCAUUCCCUCCUUCACAUUACCUCCCUUGAAAUAACUCCAAACACACUCUUUUGACGUGCGUUGGAUGACUUAUAUAAACUUGGGGCUAUUGGUGGUGUUGGUUGUGAUUCUCUAAGACUGCCUCCCCGUCUCAUUUGUGCACCACCACUUGUCCCGGAACCUUGUCCCCUAUUAGGAAUUUUAUGAAGGUGUUCUCUUUCCCAUGCUGACUGUUUGGAGGCACGUAAUGCUUGUUUCAAACUGCGUCGUUCUUCAGGUCCCAUGUCAUCAUCACAUUCGUCCUCAUCGUCAUCCUCAUCACUGUCAACCGCUUGGCCAUAGACUUCUCCCCGUAGCCCAGCUCGAAUAUUUUCCAUUCCUUGUGUCAUCUUUUCCUUCUGCUGUUUUUUAUUUUUUAAUAAUGUGCUGAUGAAUGCCUUCACUUCUGGGGGGACAUUAUCGCAUCGUUGGACAUUUUUUGAUGGAUCUAAUCCACUAAGAUGAUACUUCAGUCGUGUCACUCCGCCACUCUUCAUUACCCGACCACAAUAUUUGCAAAUUGUGCCAUGUUUGUUUCCGUCUAUUGGGUCUCCAUGUUCCCAAGCUGGAUCACGUUUACUUGACAUCUUAAACGUACCUAUAUUUAUUUUUCAUUAAAAUUUAGACAAUUAUUUUUUGAUAAAAAUAAGAGAACCUAAAUAAUAAAGUUAUUCUACAGAAGAAUUAAAUACAAAGUAAAGAAAAUGAUUGUAAAAAGUUAAGUAAUUAUACAAAUAAUAUGGAAUAAUAAAACCUAAUAUUAAUGAAUAAUAAUCCAAUUUGAUAAUAAUUCAAUUUAAUGAAUAAUAAUCCAAUUUGAUAAAAAAAAAUCCUAAUAUAAAACAUGGUGAUGAAUAAUAAUCCAAUUUGAUAAUAAUCCAAUUUAAUGAAUAAUCCACCAAUUUGAUAAAAAAAUUAUCCUAAAUUAAAACAUGGUGAUGAAUCAUAAUCCAAUUUGAUAAUAAUAAUCCAAUUUGAUAAUAAUCCAAUUUAAUGAAUAAUCCACCAAUUUGAUAAAAAAAUUAUCCUAAAUUAAAACAUGGUGAUGAAUAAUAAUCCAAUUUGAUAAUAAUCCAAUUUAAUGAAUAAUCCACCAAUUUGAUAAAAAAAUUAUCCUAAUAUAAAACAUGGUGAUGAAUAAUAAUCCAAUUUGAUAAUAAUCCAAUUUAAUGAAUAAUCCACCAAUUUGAUAAAAAAAAUUAUCCUAAAUUAAAACAUGGUGAUGAAUCAUAAUCCAAUUUGAUAAUAAUAAAUCCAAUUUGAUAAUAAUCCAAUUUAAUGAAUAAUCCACCAAUUUGAUAAAAAAAUUAUCCUAAAUUAAAACAUGGUGAUGAAUAAUAAUCCAAUUUGAUAAUAAUCCAAUUUAAUGAAUAAUCCACCAAUUUGAUAAAAAAAUUAUCCUAAUAUAAAACAUGGUGAUGAAUAAUAAUCCAAUUUGAUAAUAAUCCAAUUUAAUGAAUAAUCCACCAAUUUGAUAAAAAAAUUAUCCUAAAUUAAAACAUGGUGAUGAAUCAUAAUCCAAUUUGAUAAUAAUAAUCCAAUUUGAUAAUAAUCCAAUUUAAUGAAUAAUCCCACCAAUUUGAUAAAAAAAUUAUCCUAAAUUAAAACAUGGUGAUGAAUAAUAAUCCAAUUUGAAUAAUAAUCCAAUUUAAUGAAUAAUCCACCAAUUUGAUAAAAAAAAAUUAUCCUAAUAUAAAACAUGGUGAUGAAUAAUAAUCCAAUUUGAUAAUAAUCCAAUUUAAUGAAUAAUCCACCAAUUUGAUAAAAAAAUUAUCCUAAAUUAAAACAUGGUGAUGAAUAAUAAUCCAAUUUGAUAAUAAUCCAAUUUAAUGAAUAAUCCACCAAUUUGAUAAAAAAAUUAUCCUAAUAUAAAACAUGGUGAUGAAUAAUAAUCCAAUUUGAUAAUAAUCCAAUUUAAUGAAUAAUCCACCAAUUUGAUAAAAAAAUUAUCCUAAUAUAAAAGAAUAAUAAUCCAAUUUGAUAAUAAAAAAACCUAAUAUAAAAGAAUAAUAAUCCAAUUUGAUAAUAAAAAAAUCUAAUAUUAAAGAAUAAUAAUCCAAGUUGAUAAUAAAAAAACCUAAUAUUAAUGAAUAAUAAUCCAAUUUGAUAAUGAAGAUGGUAAGGGAAAUAAAAUAAUAAAUAAUAUUAAACAUAUUAAAAUUAUCCUAGGGAAUAAUUAUACAACAUUACUUAAUUACUUAAAACAAUUAAUAUUAACAUUACUUAAUUACUUACAAAAAUUAACAUGCAAGUAUUAAUUACUUAAAAAGAUUCACAUACGAGUCCACACAAAUUUAUUUGUUGUUGUAUAAAUUACAAUAAUAUAAAUUUAAGUUUGUAAACUUACCUUAAAUAUUGAAGCCUUUGUGUUCAAGCUUUGGAAUGGAUCUGGAAUGACUUUGAAAAUGGUAAGGAAAAUAAAAUAAUAAAUAACAUUAAACAUAUUAAAAUUAUCCUAGGGAAUAAUUAUACAACAUUACUUAAUUACUUAAAACAAUUAAUAUUAACAUUACUUAAUUACUUACAAAAAUUAACAUAAUUAACAUGCAAGUAAUUACUUAAAAAAAUUAACAUACGAGUGCACACAAAUUUAUUUGUUUUUGUAUAAAUUACAAUAAUAUAAAUUUAAGUUUGUAAACUUACCUUAAAUAUGGAAGCCUUUGUGUUGCUUGGCGUUGGAAAGGAUCUGGAAUGGUUUUGAAAAUGGUAUGGGAAGAAGAAUGUAAGUUAAAAUUCGGUGAAUGCCUCUGAUGAUGAAAGAAUGUAAGUAUAUAACAGACAUUGACACUGUUUUACAUGUGAAAGACAUUGACACUGUUUUGCAUAUGAAAGACUGUCACACGCUUUCAUUAUUAAAGCAGUAGUAUUUGUUGUGCAUGUUCUGAAAUUGCAAAAAGUUCUUUGGAUUAUUGUAUCAGAGAGGUAGACAUAGGUUUGGAAUGAUUUGGUUUUCAAUAAUUUGGAGCAUUGGAUGCUUUUUUUUUCUAACAUGCCAUCACUCAGACAGUAAAAAAAGACUGAAUAACUCACACUCCACCACACACACACUUCGAGACCCCCCCACCACACCACACACACACACCACACACGUACUACCCUAUUCCCGAAUCCUCUCAGUCUCGAUCUUUCAUUUCCCACUCCACUACCCUAUUCCCGAAUCCUCUCAGUCUCUCUCUUCUCUCUUCUCUCUCUGAGGUCGGUCUGAGCCUUCGUUCUCACCGAGAAGUUCUCAGUCUUCUCCCUCCCUUCCCCCUUCUCCACUUCUUCCACACACACACACAGAGACAUCAUCACCGAGAAGUUCUCAGUCCUCGUCCGUGUCUCCGUGUCUCCGUGUCUCCCUGUCUCCCUCUGCUCCUCCCAUCUCACCCGCCCUAAACCCAGCCGUCGACACCACUCCUUAACCGUCUGUGUCUCCAUGUCUCCCUGUCUCCCUCUGUCUCCGUAGUCCAAGCCGUCGACACCACUGAGGACCACGAACUUGUCCCAGCCGUCUUGGAUUCGUGAGGAAGACGAUGUUCCAGGCUCCUACUUCUCUUCUUCCCCUCUAUUACUUUAAAUUUUUGUAAAGAUUUCAAUUUUUCUGCAUGUUGCACACCUUUGUUGUACUGAAAUUGAUUUUAGGGAUUUAGGAAUUAGGGUUCUAUUUUUGUACAGAUUGCGAUUUAUCUGCAUGUUGCUUGAUUUUUGUACUGAAAUAGAUUUUAGGGAUUUAGGAAUUAGGGAUUCAGUUCAGUUGCUUUGAAUCCGAAUUUGGGGAUUUAGGGAUCGGUUCAUUUGCUUUGAUUUUUGUACUCAAAUCGUUCUUCUCGGCUUGUAAACAUGUUGAUUUUUGUAAUGAAAUCGUUCUUGUCGGAAUCCUGUAUUGUAGAUUCAGUUCAUUAGGCUGGAAAUUAGCAUUUGGGGAUUUAGGGUUUCGGAUUAUUUGCUCCGGCCGUGUUCUCCGACGAGUCCAUACCAAAUAUCGCGAUAGUUUCGAAAAUAUCGCGAUAUUAUCGAUAAUAUCGAUAAUAUCGCGAUAUUAUGCCGAAAACUAGUUGGAUAGUUACUAAAAUAUCGGGGUCCCCUAAAAACGAUAAUAUCGGCGAUAUUUCGCCGAUAUUAUCGAUAUUUUCUUCUGUGCUUACAGUACACGGCUAUCUGGCCGCCCAAUAUUUCCACAUAUAAAUUAAUUUUAAAUUUGUGAUAUAGACAUGUACAUUAUCGUAUAAAUUUCGUGUCUUACAACAGAUAUUCAAUGCAUUCAUCAUAAAUUUCGUGUGUUACAACAGAUAUUUAAUUCAUUCAUCAUAUUACACUGACGUCAGGUAGGUCUGACAAAUAGGUCGUGUCUAUCGUGUUUGUGUUAUUUUCGUGUAACACCUGUUAUCUUAACGGGUCGUGUCGUGUCACACCUGUUAUCUUAACAGGUCCUUAACAGGUUGGGUCACUCUACCCGUGUCGUUUUCAUGUAACACAUGUUAUCUUAACGGAUCGUGUCGUGUCACACCUGUUAUCUUAACAGGUCCUUAACAGGUCGGGGUCAUUUUACCUAACGGGUAAAGUGACCUAACAUGUUAUGAUCCGUUAUGACCCGUUAAGAAAACUAUAUUUUUCUUCUUAAAUUUGCACAUACCACACAUUACCACAUAAAUAUUACUUCAAAACAUUAAAACAUAUUUAUCAUUUAAGUACUACAUCUACACUCGAAAAUAAGAGCCUAAUGAAAAAGACAUCCAUACACUACUAGUCAAUUUUUUAAAUUUAAUUUAAUACAUAGAUUAACUAACACUUAAGAGUUUAUUCAUAUUUUCAUUAAGUAUAACAAAAAAUUUUGUGGUAUCCACUAGUGUAAAUAUUUUAAAUUGAAGAUCGAGUUCAUUCAUUGUAUUCAUAUAGGGUCAAGGAGUGUAGUUGUAAAAAAAUCAUCAAAAUCAGAUUUAAAAUAACCAUUAAAUCAUGAUUUUUCCUUGAUAACCGUUGAAAAGUUUUGUCUUGUUACUUGAUCUCUGAAUGUUUGUUUUUUGCGAUUAUUGGCGUAUGCGAUCUCGAAGCAUAUACAAAUAAGUUUGACGGUUAGAUUGUUGAAAUUAGUUUCGUAGAACGCGUAUCCUAUCAAAACGAUAAAUUUAUUAACACUUAGAGUUUAUUUAUACUUUCAUUAAGUAUAACAUAAGAUUUUGUGGUAUCCACUUGUGUAAAUAUUUUUAAUUGAAGAUUGAAUUCAUUCAUUGUAUUCAUAUAGGGUCAAUGAGUGUAGUUGUAAAAAAUCAUCAAAAUCGGAGUAAAAAUAACCUUUAAAUAGUGAUUUUUUGUUUAUAAUUGUCGAAAAGUUUUGUCCCGUUACUUGAUCUCUGAAUGUUUGUUUUUUGCGAUUUUUGGCGUAUGCGAUCUCGAAUCAUAUACAAACAAGUUUAACGGUUGGAUUGUUGAAAUUAGUUUUGUAGAAUGCGUAUCUCAUCAUAACGAUAGAUUCACUAACACUUAAGAGUUUAUUUGUACUUUUAUUAAGUAUAACAUAAGAUUUUGUGGUAUCCACUUGUGUAAAUAUUUUAAAUUGAAGAUCGAAUUCAUUCAUUGUAUUCAUAUAAGGUCAAGGAGUGUAGACAUAAAAAAUCAUCAAAAUCAAAGUUAAAAUAACCGUUAAAUCGUGAUUUUUUGUUUAUAACCAUCGAAAAGUUUUGUCUCGUUACUUGAUCUCUAAAUGUUUGUUUUUUUUCGAUUUUUGGCAUAUGCGAUCUCGAAGCAUGUACAAACAAGUUUGACGGUUGGAUCGUUGAAAUUAGUUUCGUAGAAUGCGUAUCUCAUCAAAACGAUAGAUUCACUAACACUUUUAUUUAUACUUUCAUUAAGUAUAACAUAAUAUUUUGUGGUAUCCACUUGUGUAAAUAUUUUAAAUUGAAGAUCAAAUUCAUUCAUUGUAUUCAUAUAGGGUCAAGGAGUGUAGCUGUAAAAAAUCAUCAAAAUCGGAGUUAAAAUAAUCGUUAAAUUGUGAUUUUUUUUGUUUUAUAACUGUCAAAAAGUUUUGUCCCGUUACUUGAUCUUUGAAUGUUUUUUUUUUCCAUUUUUAGCAUAUGAAAUCUCGAAGCAAUUACAAACAAGCUUGACGGUUGGAUCGUUGAAAUUAGUUUCGUAUGAUGCGUAUCCCAUAAAAAUGAUAGAUUCACUAACACUUAGAGUUUAUUUAUACUUUCAUUAAGUAAAACAUAAGAUUUUGUGGUAUCCAUUAGUGUAAAUAUUUUAAAUUGAAGAUCGAAAUCAUUCAUUGUAUUCAUAUAGGAUCAAGGAGUGUAACUAUAAAACAUAAUCAAAAUCGGAGUUAAAAUAAUCGUUAAAUCAUGAUUUUUUGUUUUAUAACCGUCGAAAAGUUUUGUCCCAUUACUUGAUCUCUAAAUGUUUGUUUUUUGCGAUUUUUUGCUGAUAUGAUCUUGAAGCAUAUACAAACAAAUUUGACGAUUAGAUCGUUGAAAUUAGUUUCGUAGAAUUUGUAUCCCAUCAAAUUCAAUGGUGUAUGUAUAUAUAUAUAUAUAUAUAUUAAGUAGGUUUAAAUUUAUUUAUUUUGUACGUAUAAGUUUAUAACACUUGAAAAAUUAAAUGCUAUGUAUAUUUAAGCCUAUCCAAUGGUCACCAAUUUUUAAAAUUUAAUUUAAUAUAUAUAUAUAUAUAUAUAUAUAAUAAUUAUAGUUUUUUAGGGGUAUAAAAUUGUUAAAUUAAUAUAUAUAUAUAUAUAUAAUUAUUAUAGUAUUUUUUUAGGGUUAUAAAAUUAUAAAAUUUAAAUAUUUUGCUUAUUGUGUAUCGUGUUACCCACGUGUAUACCCGAACCAACCCGUCAUCUUAACAGGUGCUUAUCGGGUUACCCGAUAACGAUCCGAAUCAUUAUAGUGUCGACCCGAACACCUGUUAAUUUCGUAUCGUGUCGGGUUAUCGAGUCGUGUCAGGAAUUGCUAAGCCUAGCGUUAAGAUGACAUCAUGUUACCAUUGGAUUGGAUUGCGCCUACCCAAAUCUGGCUGGCUUUCUUUGGCCAACCUGCAAUCCUUGUGGCUGAUUUAUGGUCCAGUGGGUCCUGCAAGCCUUUUGGCCCAACCUUCGGUUAGAGACGAAUUUUGUGUCAAACGGGCUACGUUUUGGCCUAUAUCCCUAUAAAUAAAUGUGAAAAAUAAAUUAAAACAAAAUCAACCCAUAUCAAGCCCUAACAUAUCUACGCCCACCACUUUCUCGUGGCUUCUUCACAAUGUUGGUGAAUCUUUUGUGCCGAUAUCUCUUCUCCGUCUCUUCCUCAUUCAGGCCAUUGCAAUUAGUUGCAAUGUUGAAUACACAAAUUUGGUGGAAUGAAAUCCAAAUGAUUAAAAAAAGUUCAGGCCUUUUUAUUUCAUAAAUGGGUUGAGUAUGAGUCCCACAUUGAUGUGAUGAUAGACUUUGCAUGAGCUUAUAAGUAAGUUUGGCUACUGCUCAUAUUGUCAAUUGGUUUUAUGGUGGAACCUCAACUUUUUUCAUAGUAUCAGAGCAGGUUAUCCCACGUGUGAAGCCAAAUGCCCACACGCGCUGCACGUCAUCCUGUUGUGUUGUCCACGUGUUAGACUUGAAAAUUCGCCACACGUGAGGAGGCGCGUUGAGAAUGAGUCCCACAUUGAUGGGAUGAAGAACCUUGCAUGGACUUAUAAGUAGGUUAGACUACUUCUCAUAUUGUCAAUUGGUUUUAUAGUGGAACCUUAACUUUUUUCAGAAUGAAAUAGCCCUUCUACUUCAUGAAUUGGCAUUUGGUGGAAUGGAAUGCAGAUAUGAGGCUUACAAAAUUUCCCUGUCGUACAAAACCGACGACACGAGGAACCACGAUCGCCAGUCUGAAGGAGAAGGGGUGGCGAAGGCGUCAAAAAGACAGCGUUGAGUUAAGAGGGAGCCUUCAUGUCCUAUGAACUUUGUUCGAAGUCAAAGAUUGUGGAAGGCAAUUGUGGCUGCCAUGGAAGGCGGUGAGAAGCAAAAUGUGGUGUCGUUUAAUUUGAAGUUGCCAUGUGGUUUUAUAAAACUUUAAAACACUUCCAUUUUUUAAUCAAAUUUAUAUCCCACUUUAAGACUUAAUUUCUUGCAUGACUCGAGGAAUCCAUAUUUCAUACAACCCCCUUCGUUUACAUACAUUGUCUUCCCCGCCUACUAUACUACUUCAUUAAUAUUUGGGUAAAUUACAGUUUACCACCUCAGGUUUGAAGUCGAUUGCAACUUCAUACAAUAUCUUUAAAACAUUUUAUUUUCAUACCUCAAUUACUAUUAUAUUUCAAUAUAAUGCAUCUGUUACAUUUUCCAUCCAUUGAUCCAUUAAGAGCUGAUGUGGUUGCCAUAUUUGUGUCACAUGGCUGCCAAAUUUGUAACACAUGCCAAAAAAAAUAAUUUUUUAUUCAUUUCAAAUAUUAUAAUAAUUUACCCAAUUAAAAAAUAAAUAAACUGCAAACCCAGAAACCCUUCUUCCCUUGACCCACCUCCCUCUCCUCCAUUCUCUUCCGGUGCGCUGUCCAGCAACGUCUCCCCCUGCGGCAACCGGUACUAACAUGAUAGCCAGGACCACAUUCCGCCUUACGAACGGGUGGCAGUGCUCCAAAUUGGCGAGAAUUGAGGGGAUAAGUAGCUCGAUGAUCUCGAACUCAUUCAAGCGGCAGAGAAACCAGAGGUUGUUGCAGAGGUUCUGGCAGAUGAGGAUCAUCUCCGAUAGGACCUUCCCCUUGGAGUUAGUCUUGUCAAUGAUCUCGAGGUAGAGGAGGAGGAGCUUCUGGACAGUGUGGUCCUCGGAGGGGAGAACGUAAUGGAUGAUGGUGAUGAAGAUGUGAGGGAUGGUGUCGCCGUUGAGGAAGAGCAUGAUGGCCUGGGAUAAAGAGGUGGGUGAUGAUCUCGGCGGAUCCGAAACGGGGAAAGUGGGAUCUGAAUUGGAGACAUGUGGAGGAUGAGGAGAUUUGGGCGUUUGUUUGGAUGAGAUGGGGUGGGUUUUUGGAUGGGACGAGAGGUGAAGAGAAUGGAGGUGAGGGAGGUGAGGUGGGGUGGGGGAUUGUGGGGAAGGUGGAGGUGGGGUGGGAUGGGGUGUUUAGGUUGCAGGGAAUGGGGAGGGCUCGGGGGAGGAAGGGUUUUUGGGUUUUUAGUUUUUAUUUUUUAUUUUUUAAUUGGGUAAAUUAUUAUAAUAUUUUUUAUGAAUAAAAAAUUAUUAUUUUUGCCACGUGCCAUAAAUGUGGCAGCCACGUUAACUCUUAACAGAUCAAUGGAUGGAAAAUGUAACAGAUGUAUUAUAUUGAAAUAAAAUAGUACUUGAGGUAUGAAAAUAAAAUGUUUUAAAGAUAUUGUAUAAGAUUACAAUAGACCCCAAACCUAAGGUGGUAAAGUGUAAUUUACCCUUAACAUUUUUAUCCCAACCAAGGUCUAAAAUGUCAAUAUUAUUGGCGAUUCGUUUUUGUGAGAGAGCGAUUUUUGACACUUAUCCACCUAAUUAUCGUCAAAAUAUCGUGAUAUUAUCGAUAAUAUCGCUCCACCUUCCUAACAGGCCUAAGGCCCGAGGGUUAUGGGAAACGGCCUGAAAGGCCUGCGCUCGUCAUGAACCAACAUGGAAGAACAGAGAAGAACGCCGGAGCUUCUACAGCUCCAGUCGACUGCAAACUACCACCUUAGACCCCGAUCUAGGUACCAAACGAAAGCACAAGGCAAGAUGAGUGCAUUUAUACCUUCUGUUUGUCAUGAAACGACCUGUGGUGGUCGGAAAACCUCUCGACACCCACGGCCUUGCCGGAGAUGGGUGUGCCUAUUCCCAAGCCGAUUUCGUCCUAAAAACCUAACCGGAGAAAUUCAAGAAACUCAUCGGAGGGUUUCUGCGUUCAUCGAGUUGUAGAGACGAGAAUGAGAGGGAGAAAUACGAGGUUGCUGAUGACGAUGGGUGUCUUCCUCGAGCAGGUACGAUGGUGUGCGUGUGUGUAUAUGGGUCUCGGUGCAGAAAGAAAGGAGAGAGAUGAGAGUUUUGAGAGAGAGAGAGAUAGAGAAUGCAAAAAAGAAAGAAGAAGAAAGAAGGGGUUACAAAAAGAUAAGAAUAAGGAUUGUUGGGGUGCUGCCACGUGGCAGUUUGAGAGAGAAGAGAAUCUUAAGUGUAGAUCCGGAUUGGGUAAAGGAAAUUAGGACUAAAUUGAUAGAUUCCAUAAAUAUUUGGGGAAAUACGGGCAAUUUGAGAGAAAAUAGAAUCUUAAGUUUAUGACUAACUAUGCACAUGGGUAAACUAUCAUUUAACCCCUAAACUAUUGCUGAUAACUAAUUCAUUAUAUAUAAAUGAUUAUGGUGUGUUUAAACAUCUUUCAUUAAUUACUACAUAUUUUCUACACUCACAAUGUUUGCCAGCUCGCUAUAUAAUCAACUUAAAUCAGAUAAAUCCAUAAUGCAAUGCAUUUCCUUCCAAUUUUUUGUGAUAAACUAAUAGAUAAUUGACUAAAUAAACAUCCUGCAAAGUUUCAAAAAUUUCCAAGUUUUUCUUACAAUUUUCGUCGUUUUUAUUUAAUUUUUAUCGAUAUCGAUAAUAUCCCGAUAUUUCUAUCGAAAUUUCCGUGUUUUUAGAUUACCGAUAUUUCCGAUAUCAUCGAUAUUUUAUACAUUGAUCCAAACUCAUGGUUUUUUAAGAAAAAACCCAACUCAUGUUUUGUUGUUCCUCGUUUUUUUAGCAAUUAUUUUAUGUGUACUAAAUCCUUUGAGAAAUUCAAUGUAUCCAGAACACCAAAACGCAUUUUUUAUAUACUUUUUAUGAAUUAAGAUUUAUCCUUGAAUAAUGAUGACUGUCCUUGUUAAUCUUACUUGUAGUUCCCUUUUGAUUUAAUUUAAGGCUCCAUGACCCUGACCUUUCAUGUUAACAAAUAAAAAAAGAAGAAGAAAAACUAGUGUGACGAGAUCAAUUUAAGAAUCUUUUAAAGAGAAGGGGGAGAGAGAGAGCAGCCACUUCUCAUUUUUUAAAGGGGAAAUUUUAUUUGAACCUAUAUUUUGUAUCUCAACACCCAAUUUACUUUUUAUGCCCAUAUUGUAUUUGAUUUAUCUAUCAUUAUCUCUUUACACCCAAUGUUAUUUCUGAAACCGUCCUUACUUAUCAAAACUCAACUCAAUCAAACUUCUUUUUACACCAAACUCAAUCUACUUAAAUAUAAAAAAUAAAACCCCAAUCAGUCCAUCAUCUCCAUGGAGCAAAGCCCUUUGUCUCUCUCUUUAAAAAAUCCUUCCAUCUCCCAUGGUUGUCAUUUUGCACCCCCAUCUACUCCUCCAUAGUCAUCCAAACCUCUUCCUCUUCAUUUUCUUCAUCAUUUAACAUCUCUAAAUUUCUGGAGCACUAAUUAGCUUAAUAAUUGGUUUGUGUUCAAUCGAUUGGUUCAAUUUUUAUGUAUUGAUUCCUUUUUCUUUUCAACUAAAUGAGCUUCUGGUUAGUGUUUAAUGAGUUUUGUAUGUUUCAAUUAAAUGAGAAUCUUCUAGACUCUAUAUUCCUAUUUGUGGUAGAAAAAUGGGUAUGUCCAUGAUAACUUUUGGUAGAUCAAUGAAUAUUUUUAACCGUGGAUAUUUAUUUUAUUUUGUUUUUGUCGAAACCGUGGAUAUUUAUUAGAUACAAAAGUUGUGGACAACAAUUCACAUUACAUUGAAUUGUGGCUAAAAAGUAUAUCGUCUUUGUACGUUUUAAAGGCGAACUCAUAGCUAAGCAGUUUUUAUUGUGGAGCAAAACUUCGAGAAUUGAUCUAACCUGGAUGUGUAAUUGAGUUUAUGCAUUUUAAUAAUUAAAUUGAUAAAUAUUUCAACUACAUAUGGAUUUAAUAUCGUAGUAUCUUUUAGCCUCUAUAUGCCACACUAGUUGCGGACAAAAAUUCACAAUACAUAGAAUUGUGGUAAAAAAAAGUAUAUCGCAUUUGCAUGUUUUAUAGGUGAACUCAUAGGUAAGUAGUUUUUAUUGUUGACCAAAACUUUGGGAAUUGAUCUAACUUGAAUGUAUAAUUGAGUUUAUGCAUUUUAAUGAUUAAAUUCAUAAAUAUCUCUAUCGCAUAUGAAUUUAAUAUCGUAGUGUCUUUUAGCCUCUACAUUGGUAUAUGUGGCAAAAAAAUGGGUACCUCCAUGAGAAACUUUUGUAGAUCGAUGAAUAUUUUCAAUCUGAAUAUUUAUUAGAUACUAGAAAUUAUAAGUCUAUUUGCGAAAGUCUAAGUCAAUGCCAGGUAGAAUAUUUGUUAAGAUAUAUUUAGAGAACUGUUAUUAGCACUCCAAAAAUCUCAUUCUACACUUUGUACAAGUGUAUUUUUCUUUCUAAUUAUAGAAAGUUAGGAGUGCCAAAUUCGAUUUUUGGAGUGCUAUAGCAAUUUUCUAUAUUUAUAUACAUUUUAUUUUAGUUUGGAAAUCGAUUUCCUUUUUUUUCUUUCUUUAUCAAGUUGGGAGUAUCACUGACUGUGACCCUGUGCAACUAGUUGUUGAUUUGUUUUGAAUAAUCAACAUUAUUUCUUACAAUAUCUUGGGCGUAUGAAUAACAGAAAGAAAACGGUCAUAAUACAAGCUAAAUAAGAGUAGUACUAAUUAGUAAACUACUUGUGCAUGAUGUUUGCUUAUAACCAAGUGGCAUGAAGGGACAAAUGUGUAUGUUUCAUGCAUGACUUGAAAUAGUAUUAGUAAAGUCACACAAGCCAACCAACUUGUUGGCAAGUGACCCUUUACCACAGUGGUGAAAAAGUGUUGUGCUUUUGCAUGACAACGUGAGUUCGAAUUUUGUUGGUAACUGAUCUAACAUCUAACUUACUAAUGCUAUCACUCAACUAAAAAAAAAUAUAUAUAUAUAUUCGAAAUGUAUGUAGUGGAUAAACACAAUCUCAAAAUUUAAUUAAACUCACAUAACAAUGAUAAAUAAAGGCAUUAUCAAAACUUAAGGGUGGUGAGCAAUCCCAUUAAAAUAGAACUUAAUAUAUACAUGUUAAAAACAAAAACAAAUUGAUGCAAAGUCUCCCGACGACUAAUAUUAUUCCAAGUCAUGCAUGAAACAUACACAUUUGUCCCUUCAUGCUCCUUAGUUAUUAGCAAACAUCAUGCAUUUACUAAUACUAUUCCAAAUCAUGCAUGAAACCUACAUAUUUGUCACUUCAUAUAAGCAAACAUCAUGCAUUUACUAAUACUAUUCCAGUCAUGCAUGAAACCUACACAUUUGUACCUUCAUGCCACUUGGUUAUAAGCAAACAUCAUGCACAAGCUGUUUACUAAUUAGUAUUACUACUAUUCAACUUGUAUCAUGACUAUUUUCUUUCUGUAAUUCAUACGUCCAAUACAUUGUAAGAAAUAAUAUUGAUUAUUCAAAACGAAUCAACAACUAGUUGCACAUGAUCACAAUCAGUGAUACUCCCAUCUUGAUAAAGAAAGAAAAAAAAAAGGAAGUCGACUUCCAAACUAAAAUAAAAUGUAUAUAAAUAUAUAAAAUUGUUAUUAGCACUCCAAACUUUCUAUAGUUAGAAAGAAAAAUACAUUUGUGCAGGUGUAGAAUGAGAUUUUUGGAGUGCUAAUAACAGUUUCCUAAAUACGUCUUAACAAAUAUUGUACAUGACAUUGACUUAGACUUUCACAAAUAGACUUAUAAUUUCUGGUAUCUAAUAAAUAUCCAAAUUGAAAAUAUUCAUCGAUCUACAAAAUUUUCUCAUGGAGGUACCCAUUUUUUUGCCACAUAUACCAAUACAGAGGCUAAAAGACAAUACGAUAUUAAAUUCAUAUGUGGUCAAGAUAUUUAUGAAUUUAAUCAUUAAAAUGCAUAAACUCAAUUAUACAUUCAAAAUUUCCCGAAGUUUUGGUCAACAAUAAACUGCUUACCUAUGAGUUCACCUAUAAAACGUGUAAAGACGAUAUACUUUUUAACCACAAUUCUAUGUAUUGUGAAUUUUUGUUUGCAACUUUUGUGGCAUAUAGAGGCUAAAAGAUACUACGAUAUUAAAUCCAUAUAUGGUCGAAAUAUUUAUCAGUUUAAUUAUUAAAAUGCAUAAACUCAAUUACUCAUCCAGGUUAGGUCAAUUCUCGAAGUUUUGCUCCACAAUAAAACUGCUUAGCUAUGAGUUCGCCUAUAAAAUGUGCAAAGACGAUAUACUUUUUAGCCACAGUUCAAUGUAAUGUGAAUUGUUGUCCGCAACUUUUGUAUCUAAUAAAUAUCCACGGUUUAAAAUAUUCAUUGAUCUAUCAAAAUUUAUCAUGGACAUACCCAUUUUUCUACCACAAAUAGGAAUAUAGAGGCUAGAAGAUUCUCAUUUAAUUGAAACAUACUAAACUCAUUAAACACUCUAACCAGAAGCUCAUACCGAUUAUUAAGCUAAUUAGUGAUCUAGAAAUUUAGAGAUGUCAAAUGAAGAAAAGGAAGAGGAAGAGGUUUGGAUGACUACGGAGGAGUAGAUGAUGACAACCAUGGGAGAUGGAAUGAUUUUUUAAAGAGAGAGAGAAGGGGAUUUGCUCCAUGGAGAUGAUGGACUGGUUAUAGUUUUAUUUUGUAUUUUAAAGUAGAUUGAGUUGGGUGUAAAAAGAAGUUUGAUUGAGUUGAGUUUUGAUAAGUAAGGACGGUUUCGUAAAUAAUGUUGGGUGUAAGUAGAUAAUGAUAGAUAAAUCAAAUACAAUGUGGAUAUAAAAAGAAGCCAAGUGUUAAGAUACAAAAUCUAAGUUCAAAUAAAAUUUCCUUUUUCAAAACCGCUCCCAAAAAAAAUGAUGAAUAAGCAUCAGCAACACUACCCACCACCUUCAUUUCCAAAGCAAUUCCUCAAUGCCCAAAUCCACCUCCAUAAAAUCGUCUCAAGUUUUCUAAUCUUUGCUUUCGGUUUAGCACUAGGCGCUUCCCUCAGCAUCCACCUCAAAGAUUUCCCCUUCCAACUUUAUUCAACACAAAACAAAUACUCUCAUUUGGCAACAAAUAAUCUAACAUUUUCUUCUCCACCACCUCCACAAUCUCUCAAUAUCCCAACAAAUAAUCUAACAUCUUCUUCUCCACCACCACCACAAUCUCUCAAUAUCCCAACAAAUCAAACAAAAGCCAAUACCUCCGCCGCCAG
rnacentral:lncRNA from 1 species